rnacentral:lncRNA from 1 species
GGGUCUUUUUCAUCUGUUAGUUAAAAAAAAAUAGAAAUUAAAACUAAAACUAAAAUCUAAACGUUACAAAAAUCCCAAAAAUUAAAAGGAAACUAAAACAAAUUAGAAUUUACUCAUAGUUUCGCGAAUCCCAGCCGGAUAAACAGGUGGCAGUUGUAAGAGUAGAUCUCCAACUCCGAACCUCUUCCAUUUCGGCGUUAGAAUCGCGAUCGUGCUCAGAAAAGCUUGUGCGAAACUUUUCUUGAGCUUACGAACAUGAGACGGAUCAACUUCAUAGAAAAUGGGGAGUACAAUCUGGUUAUUGGUAUCCUUGCAUUCCAGGAUUUGCACGAGUUCUUUCAAGCACCAAGUGGAAGAAGCAUAGUUUUGAGAGAAAACUACAAGCGAAAGCCUUGACCCUCGAAUCGCUGUCAGGAGCUCGGAAAGGUGGUCGCCUUUUCUGAGCUUUUCCGCAUCAAUGAAGGCGUUGAUUGGUUUCUUAACCAGAGCGUUGUAGAGAUGGCUGACGAAGCCCCUGCGAGUGUCUUCCCCUCUGAAAUUGAUGAACACAUCGUAUUUCCAACCAAGGUUAGAAGCAGCAGCCAUUAAUCGAUCGCACCUGGUCAGCGAUGAUCGAGCAGCUAAGACUAAGAAUAAUGUAAGAACAGAAAUACUCGAUUGAUCUAUAAAUUGAAUCACUGAAGAAACUGGUCUGAUCGAUACGAAGUCAACGAAGACAAAGAAAAUAAUGCUUUAUGUGUUUUCACAUCUUCUUCCGGGAAAUUUAACGAAAAUAAUUUUCCUUUAGGCAAAAUUGACUUCAAAAUAUAAAAAUAUUCUUUCAAUUAUGGACAUAUGACAUUUCGGUGUGAAACGAAUAUGCUUAUUUGGUUUGGUUUGGACCCAAGAAAGGACAAAGAUUGUCUGCCCUCCUACUUCCGGUGCCCUUCCAUGCCCUUCUGUUUGUGUAGUCACGGUUAAGCCACGUCAACAUUUUAUAUUACUAUUUAUUUUUGUCUUAUUAUCUCUAUAAAUAAGCAAUAUAAAAUAUUAACGUGGCAUAAUCGUGACCACAGAAAACAAGAGUUGGCACCAAAAAUAGGAGGACAAACAACCCUUGUCCCCCAAGAAAAUGCUAAGAAAGGAUGGUUUAGCAGCUGUGCAUGAGGGGACUGGGUCAAAGUACCCUGUUGAAUCCACUCUUGCCUACCCAACAACUUAUUUAGUUAUUUGUAAGCCCGAAAUAUAUCCCGAUCUUUCUAUUCACACCAAAAGUAAGUAGAGUGAUAAGAAAUAUUUCCGGUUAAGUAUAAGCAUGUCAGUCUGCAGCAGCAUAGCCACGUUAAGGGCUACCGUGGGCUGUAGUCUAUGUAAUUUUCAGUGAAAAAUAAAAUUUUACAUGUAAUUUUUAUUGAUUUUCAAAUAUACUUCUUCAUAUAUACAGUCUUUAAUCUGAAUUAUCUCAUUUUAAUUAUAUAAUUAUAUAAUACAGUUUACAAACUGUCUCUUUUUCUUACAUCAUUUUUCUCACCGCUUCUUGCACAUGUACAAGUUUGGAUUUUGUUUGAAUUUUAACACGUAUUUGUUUAAAAACGAAAAUCCUUGGCUUACAUAGUGAAAAUUUUCUUAAGUUAGCUGAUACUUUGAAAAAUACAGGAUCAAGUUUCUUUGUUUAUAAAGAUUUAAAUCUUUAAGCUAGCCCACCCGGUGAAAAAUUCCUAACUCCGUCAUGCAUUUUACAUAUAAUUUUUAUUGAUUUUCAAAUGUAGUCCAUCAUAUAUACCGUCUUUAAUCUGAAUUCUCUUGGUUUAAUUAUAUAAAAUUAUAUAAUACAGUUUACAAACCGUCUCUUUUCUUACAUCCUUUUUCUCACUGCUUCUUAUACAUGUACAAGUUUUGAUUUGUUUGAAUUUUAACACGUAUUUGUUUAAUAACGAAAAUCAUUGGCUUACAUAGUGAAAAUUUUCUUAAGUUAGCUGAUACUCUGAAAAAUACAAGAUCAAGCUUCUUUGUUUAUAAAGAUUUAAAUCUUUAAGCUAGCCCCCUGGUGAAAAAUUCCUAGCUUCGCCAUUGAGCAUGUGGUAUAUCCUAUGAUAUCAUGGACGGCAAACGAGCGAUUAAUGGUUGUUUGGCAUUUAAUUUGAUGUCACGGUAGUAACGGUACUCUAAAAUCUUUGAUAUACUUGCUUUCAGCUACAAAACUACUAGAACUCCGAAAAUUGCUUAUGAAAAUAAAAAUAUUGACUAGAUUUGAACUUGUAUAAUCUAUGUCUUCACUACACAUUGUUGUGUUCGCUCGUGUUCUAAAGUUGACGCUAGCUAGAAGGUCACAGCAAGAAGCAGAGGAGGCUAACUAUUGCAGAAAUUUGUUUAUUCAAAAGCAUUUGUAAAAACACAUAUUGAAAUUAAUUCACGCCAAAAAUAAAUAAUACAGUGGUGGCAGGCACACUACAACAAUAGGGUUUUAACCCUAUGCAUUUUUAUAUUGGCUUUUGUGUUAUCAGUUGCGACCGCUCGGUGGAGAGAGCAUUUUAUGUUAUGAAUAAAAAUACCACUGCGUAACAAAAUAGAAGAUUAAUGGUUGAGUGAUAGCUGGUUUGUUUGCAAUGAGAGAGAUGUUUUUGCUUUUAUUGAUAAUGAAUCUAUAUACGCGAUGUUUUCAUAGCAUAAAACAUCGCCGACAACAAUUGUAACUUUUUGUGUUGAUAAAUUAGGAAAGACAUUAAUAUUUUCUAAUAUCUAAAAGAAUUUGGAUGUCUACAUUUUUUUGGAAAACUUUUUACCCUUCUAAAUUUCGCGCCUCUCCCGACAAUUCCUAGCUUCGCCACUGCUAUAGUCAACUCCAAGUCUUGUCCAUGAUAUCAAUAUCCCUACUGUAAACGGUGACUUCAAUAUAAGCUAACAAAAAGUUUGUAUAGAGAAGAUAUAUGCAUGAAAAAAUGGCAGUGUUUGUGUUGCCGAACGGAUGAUACUGAAAUACCUAAACCCAAGUCAAGCUCCUUUAGUCCACAAAAACAAAAGUUUAGAAUACAAUAAUGUUUGCAUAUAGAUUGGAGAAACGACAUACCACCGGCCAGGAAGGUGCAGUGAAAGAGAGAGGAAAAGAGGAAAGAAACAAAUACGAAAUGACAAAGACUAUCAAAUAGAUUAUAACAAUGACUUCUUAGCGGUGAUCACAACUAUUCAACUAUCGAUGAUGCUUUAUUUUAGAUUGAGAUGUGGAAGCAUCUGAGAAGUAGCAUGUCAACAACCAUUACACAAUAAUAUUGUCUAAUAUCUAAAAGAACUUGGAUAUCUACAUUUUUUUAGAAUCUUUUACCCUUAUAAAUUUCGCACCUCUUCAGACAAUUUCUAGCGUUGCCGCUGCUUCAGUCAACUCCAAGUCCUAGUGGUUCUUGUCUAUGAUAUCAAUAUACCCAUUGUAAAUGGUGAUUUCAAUAUACAUAGAGUGUGUACAGGGGAGAUAUAUGUAUGAAAAAAUGGCAGUUGUUGUAUCUGUGUUGACGAACGGAUGGUACUGGAAUACCUAAACCCAAGUCAAGCUUCUUCAGUCCACAAAAACAAAAUGUUUAUUAUAUAAUAAUGUUUGCAUAUGGACUUGCGAAACAACAUACCGCCGGUUGGGAAGGUGCAAUGAAAGAGAGAGGAAAGGGGGAAAUAAACGAACAAGAAAUGACAAAGGCUAUCCAAUAUAUUAUAAAAUGACUUCUUGGCAGUGAUUAAGCUAUUCAAUUAUCAAUAAUGCAUUAUUCUUAAAGUUUAUAAUAUAAUAAUGUUUGCAUAUGCACUUGCGAAACGACAUAUCGUCGACUGGGAAGGUGCAAUGAAAGAGAGAGGAAAGGAGGAAAUAAACGAACAAGAAAUGACAAAGACUAUCCAAUAUAUUAUAAAAUGACUUCUUGGCAGUGCUUAAGGUGUUCAACUAUCAAUAAUGCAUUAUUCUUAGGUUGAAAUGUGGAAGCAUCCGAGAAAUAGCAUGGUAACAACCACACAAUAAACAAAAGUGAUUAGAGAAAAGAACCAAAUGUGAAAGGAUAAUUAAAAACAGUUAUUCAAGAUCGGCGGUAAAUCAUUCAGCUAUUUACAAGAUUUGAACUUAGAACCGCAAUCUACUAGAUUGUUGUAUCAACUAUUAAGUGGUGUUCUAAUAUAAUUCUUAGGAAUUUCAAGGAGGCAUAUGGGGGUGGAUCAUUUUUUUUCUAAAUUCGACAGUACAAAGAAGAAUUUAAUUGAUAACGGAAAAAAUAAGUUACAUAUAGAGCUGGAGCAUAUAAUAGACCCAAAUUGACCAUUUUUAGGCUCCACUGCUAAGAACUAUUGCAAAAUGCUCAUUAGGAUUACCCUGUGAACUCCGUCCUUCCACACCAAGCCUCCAAACUCAGUCCGAUAUGUUGCAGCUAGUUUAGAUACUUGUCCCCUGCAUGUUACAGAAUCACAAGAGCAAGCUUACAAAACUGCAGUUUUUACUCAUAGUUAUUGCAAAUGAAAAUACAGGUUGGUGCCAGCAAUUAUCAGUGUAAUUCUCUAUCCGACGGUAUUUCUCUCGCCUUCUCUUGAUAAUUUCGGAUGUGACAUGUUUAAGAUAACUCUUCCAAACACGUUGCUUAUGCCUAAUUUUUAAUACCACCAUAUCAUAUCAUAGUAAAUCCAAAUAACUAUCGAAUGGCAUUUAGGCAUCUAGAAUAUCAAAUGCAUUACUUUACAUUGAAAAUUCAUUUAUUCAAUAGCAUUAAUACACUAGUAAAAAAAACACUUUGCACGACGUAGGUCCUUCGUCGCGCAAAGUCAAAACAUGUCGCGCAAAACUUUGCCCAACGAACCUUCGUCACGCGCAAACCGUCGCAGCAAGGCAGUGACAUAAGGCUUUGCACGACGAAGGGUUACAUGCAUCGCGCAAAGCCACUUUGCGCGACGCAUGUAACCCUUCGUCGCGCAAAGCCAUUUUGUGUGAUGCAGGCUGCGUCGCUCAAAGUGGCGUCACGCGAAGAUGCUUUGCGCGACACAUGUCAUUGAGUUGCACAAAAUGACUUUGCGCAACGUAACCUACGUUGCGCAAAGUGUAUUUUUGGUUUUGGUCAAAAAUAUUAUUUUCUUAAUUUUUAAUAAUGUUGUAAUUAAAUUCUAAACAAUAAUUAAUUAACCAAAAAAAGUAUUUAAUUAUAAAAUAUAUGGAAAUGUACAUACAAGAUGUCCGAAUAAAAAAGAAAAAACUACAAGUAGUCUUCUAGGUGAAGUGGCUACUGGGUAUCAACAUGGUGAAGUGGCUUCUAGGUGAAGUAACAUUUCGAUGACGUGAAAAAGUUUCAAUUGGUCAUCUACAAGUGUCAAACCUAACACAUUUUACUUAAAAAAGAAAAAGGUAAUAACAUAACUCAAAACGAAAAGCAAAAGGGAAAAAAAAAAACUUUGCGCGACAUAAGUACAUAUGCAUCUCGCAAAGUUUUUUUUUCCCCCUAUUGCAGAUACAAAUAACAUCAUCCUUUUGCAAGAAUCAGUCUCUGCCCUCUCGCCCUCCCUCUCCCGCUCCCUCUCCUUCUCCUUCUCCCCUGUGUAGUUGUUGGUUGUGUUGUACGAAGUCGUCCCUCUCCCUCUCCCAUGUGUUGUUGUUCGUUGCACAAAGUAUUUUGCCCGAUGCAGGUGUACCUACGUCCCGUAAAGAUUUUUUUUUUUGCCCUUUUGCUUAUGAGUACAAAAUAAAUAAAUUAAAAUCUACUUACUAAAUCAACUAUGGAGCUUUUGACUUGUGUUAGAACACUGGAAAGAAAGACAAAAAGAGACAUUUUCAUGUUGACUUUGCACGACGCAUAGUACAUCAUGCGUCGCGCAAAGCUGUUUUGAGUGACGUAGUGUACCUGCGUCGUGCAAAGUUGGAAAAAAAACGGUAAAACAUUCUUGGUUUGGCCCCAAAAUCUUGCGCGGCGCACAAAACGUCGUGCAAGUGGUCUUUAUGCGACCAUACUUUGCGCAACGAAGGAGUGCGUCGCGCAAAACAGUUUUGAACGACAUAGAUGUACCUUCGUCGCGCAAAACAAUUUUGUGCGACCCACUCCUUCGUCGCACAAAGACCACUUGUGCGACAUCUUGUGUUUAGCGUUGCACAAAGUAUGUUUGCGCGACGAAAUUUGCUACGUCACGCAAACAUGUUUUUGUACUAGUGAUAACACACACAUUGAAUCUCCACUUGCCCACCCAAAAACUUCUUUGUAAACUAGAAAUAUAUUCCAAUCUCCCUAUUCACAUGAAGAGUGAGUUAGAGUGAUUGGAAAUAUCUUUGAUUACGUGUACGCACACCACAUAUGUGCCAUAUCCAACGGUAUUGCGGACAUAAAGCAAGCAAGUAAUGGUUGUUUGGCUUCUAAUCUGAUGUCACGGUAGUGACGGUACUACUUUGAAAUCUUUGAUGUAUAUGUUUUUAACUACAAACUACUAGAACUUCACAAAUUGCUUAAAUACAAGUUCAAGCAAUAAUAAGAAUAUUUCCAAUAGAACACCUUUCAUAGGGCCGGUCCAGAAAUUUUUGAGGCCCGGGACGACGUAAAAAAAAGUGCCCUAACUUCAUGUAAGAAAAUUAUUUAUUUUCACACGUAAGACAUCGAUAAAAUUAUACUUAGAAAAACACUUCAAACUUAAUAAUUUAAAAACACAUAAAGACUAAUUUAUUUUGUAUUGAGAGAGGGAAACAACAAAACUUCGGGCUUACAAGUAGAUAGAUGAUGAGUUUUGUUUUCCAUCUGAACUUUGAAUGUGUUUUUGAAUAAAUCAUGAGGUGUUUUUUUCUUAUUUACUAAUCUUGUCAAUAUGGGACUAUAAAAAAAUGAUGUUUUCGAGUCUUUAAUUGAUAUGUAUUAUUAAUGAAUUGGCACUAAAUUAAACAUUUUGAUGACAUGUCAUAUAAUUUGCAAAUUUGGUCUACGUAUUAUUCUUUGUUGAAGAUUAGACUUGAAUUAAAACGAAUAUUUAAAAAUAACAACCCACAUAUCUACUAGAUAGUAACUAAAAAUAAAUUAACAACCAAACAAAAAUUUGUAAAAAUUGAAAAGAAUAAACAUGCACAUAGCACUUCAAACAAAAAUCAUUGUUUCUAAGGGGGGUGUAUUCAAUUGAGAAUGUGAAAGAUUUUAAUGGAUUUAUAAAUCCAUGGAUUUUUAUGGAGUUUAAUUGAUUUGUAGAGAUUCCAUAUAAAAUUUUGAUUCAAUUCCUUCGAAAUCUCAUGGGAAGAGGUGAGAUUUGUGGAUACUUAAAAUACACUACGAAAUCUCUCCAAUUCCCUCUAAUUCUUUAACUUUCUCAAAUUCUUUAAAAUCAAUUUCUAAUUGAAUACACUUGGAAUGUUAUAAACUUCUUUAAAAUCUUAAUUGAAUACACCUGGAUUUCUAAGGAUUUUAAUAAACUAUUUUGAAAUUCUAAUUGAAUACACCUAGAAUUUCAGAGAAUCACUUAAAAUCCUAAUUGAAUACCCCUGGAAUUAUUAAUUCCCUGAAACUCUCUCAGAAUCCUAAUUGAAUACACCCCUCUAAGUAGACUUCUUGAUCCUUUUACCAAAUUUUAUAAAUUUAUUCUCUUAUGAAAAGAAAUUUGUAAAAAAUGAAAUGUAAAUAAGCACACAUGGUGUUUUGAACCCAAUACCUCCUCAUUAUUUUCAAAUGACAAACCACCACUUCUAGUUAAAUUUCUAUGUCUUUGAACCAAAUUUUAUAAAUUUAUACUCUUAUAAAAACAUACAUAAAUUGACACACCCCAUCCCGAAGGAGGGCAUGCUGGCCGUCACGUGAGAGUGACGUAACCAUUUGCACAGUACGGAAGCUUUAAGAUACAAUUUAUAAGUUGAUACACCCGAAGGUGAGUCCUAAUUUUGUCCAAUCUGUCAGAACACCGUCGAAUUCCUCGUAGUCACCACACCUUUGUGAUUCUUGAACCUGGAGGGGCGCAAAACCAAAAUUGAGUGGGUCAGUAAAACAAUUCUUUUCCAAAUCCAAACAUUUCUCAAAACGUUGUAACCCCUCUCCGUAAAACCUGUAUACUUUCCCAGAAAUGUAAAAUAUAAAUAUACAUAUAUAUUCUCAAAACUUCAUUUUUACUAUCUCAACAUUUUUCUUUAUCAAUCAUGCCAUGCCAUGUCUAAUUCAACAGUUAAAUAUGGAUGCAUCAACAAUAAUCAUAUCAGGUGCAAGAAAGUAAUCAACCGGAGGCCCUCUAAUAGCCCUGUACGGUUGAACCUAGAGCUCAAAAUCUAUCACUAUCACUCUACCGGAGUCACCUCUGUGACCCGUCCGGCCUUCUGCACACAAGUUAUGCUCUAGUGCUUUCUCAUCAAUCAUCUGUGCACAUAAUCUAAGGUCACCCACCAGUCGGAAUCUCACUAACACUCUCGCGACUGGCCUGUCGUACCCACUCCGCGUGGACUGUACGACUAGCAUCUACUUGGAUCCAAGGCGAGCGUGCGAUGCGGUGAAUACUAUAAGCACUAAACCAUUGGUGCAGGAUUUGAGCUCAAUAUAUAUCAACAUCAUCAUAACAGUAAUUAAAUACUCACCUGAUACUCACCUGUGCGUCCGCCGCACCAUUCAUUCAUAUGCAUCAUAUCUCAAUUCAUACUUUUCAUAUCAUUUCAUGCAUGGCAAUUCGAUUCACAUUUCUAUAUACUUUUCAUAUACUUUUAUGCAUGGCAUUUCAACUAAUAUAUCUCAUAUACUUUUAUACAUUUUCAUUAAAAACAUAAUUUCAUGCAUUUUCAAUUUCUGGGAAACGGCAAGUAUAUAUGUAUACGGAAAACAAAACUGCCCACUCACCUGGAGUUCGCCCUACAACUCCCUAGCACAAUACGCCAAGGCGUCAUGACGAUCGGCGCCUAAAAACAAUAAUUAAUUCCAACCUCAGAAUUCAUAGUGAUAGAAUAUAUAACUUAUAUAAAAUACGUCACUACGUAGUUCGAUCCGGAAGAUCUGCCACUCAGAUUUUAAAUCCAUAACUUCCAGAGGUCCACAAUAUACCUCUAGGACAACUUCCUAAAAUUUCAUUACCAUCCAACGGUCGGAUCUCCGUCAAUUUCCAAAACUAAGUGACGGUUAACAUUUUAUUUUAUGAACUUACAAUUCCAAUUCCGGAAGAUCCGUAACUCGGAUUCCCAAUCCGUAAGUUCCAAUAAUCCUCAAAUAUUACGUAUUACAACGUAUCAAAGUUUGGUAACGAUCCAACGGUCGGAUCGUCAAUUCACAUUUUCACCAAAACUAUAAAACGUUAUUCGAACACCUAACCAACAAUCCUUAAUAACUUUCUCAUACGGUGCUCAAAUUGGGUAUAUGAAUAUACCACGGUGAUCUACUCGACGUCACGGACGUCGACAUAUUUUUAAAAUAAUUUUAUUUAUUUAUUUUUUUUAACUGUAGCACCUUCUUCUUCCUUGGGUCGCCGGACUGGUUUUUCCGGCGGCCGUUUUCCGGGCAGUUUUUCAAAUUGUCAUAACUUUGUCAUUUCUCAACGAAAUCAAGUGAUUCAAAAACGAAAGUUGUAGCCCUUGAAGAGACAAAGAGAAUGGUACCUUGCACAACACCUAGUUCGCCGUGGUUUGGCCGGAAACUGCCUCGAAAGCCUCGGAGGUCGCCGGAAACUGGGUAUUUUUCAAAUGAGUAUAACUUCUUCAAUACUCAACGAAAUUGAGUGAAACAAAAAGGAAAGUUGUAGUACUUGACGAGACGAAGAGAUUGAUACCUACCUCGACUCCUAACUCGCCGGGGAUUCGCCGGAAAAUGCCUCGAAGCUCCGGCCAAACUUUGAACUUGUCGAUCUCCGUGUUCUUACGUCCAAAAACUUCCAACGAAGCACUCCGAGCUUCCUUGGAACCUCACUAAGCUCACUGUGAGCUUGGAUUGUCCUAAAACAAAGUCAAUUCGAAGAUCAUGAACAGUGCACUUUCACGGGGAGUUUAGAAUCUAGGUUUUUCCGAAGUAAAACUUACCUGAAAUUGGUGUCUACGUGAUCGUGGAGUCUCCAGGAGUUCGAUGGUGGUCUUAACUCCGUCGUUGGUAUAGAUUUAGGGUGGUUUUGGAGCUCGUCUGUGUGAGUUUGAAGGAGAGGGAGAGAGACAGAGAAUGAGAGAUUGUGAGGGAGGAGAGAGAGACAGGGUACGGGAAAUAGGGAGGGAUUUGAGGUGUGUGGUCCUACCUAACCCCAAAUCAUAAAAUUCCAUCUCCAAAUAACUUAGAAACAUAUAUUUCACCAAUAUAUGAUUCACAUAUCUUAAUCACGUUUAAGGGAAAUUCCGUCAAUUUACAAUCACGAGUGUAAAACUUUGGGACGGGCUGUGACAUAAAUAUAUCACCCUAAUAAUUUUGGUGCCCCUAAUUUUUCUGGGCCCUGGACGGUCGCCCUGCCUACACUGGGCCUAGGCCGACCCCCUUUCACAAUCCCUGGAGAGCUAGUUCAUUAAUAGACCGAGGAAUAAGUAAAUUGACUCAUUCAUAUAUUUAGAUCAUGAAUGUUUGGAAUCCAUAUUAUGUAAGGAGACAUUGCUUUUGCUAUUAUGAAAUUUAAAAAAAAAAAUGACUAGAUUAGAACUUGCAUAAUCUACGUUUUAUUCAUGGCAUGCGAUUAUUAAUGAUUAAAGCUAAGCUUAAUACUAUGGGAGGUAAAGUAGUGGAAAGCAAAUCCUUGGCACUCAUGGCACUUAUGGAGAAGAUGAAGAAAAGAAACCUAGGUCGUAUUUAUAUACAAACAUGUGACUAAAUUACAGAAAUGAUAACGAGAGAGCAUGUGAUUGUUGACAACCAGUGACAUGAGAAACACACUCUGGGAUCAUAUCCAUCAGAAGCCCAAUUCCAUCCUGUGUAAGAAAGAGAGCAUGAGAACACGAACAUGAAAAAUGAAAGAAUUGUAUUCAGCAUUUUGUCAAGCUAUCAAUUGGUACACAAGCAUUAUGAUGUAAUAAUCAUGUUAAAAUAAAAUAUAAAUAGUAAAACUACACGUCCAAGCUUUAAUCCAAAGAAUUCUCACUUAGUAGUCCAAAGCUAAUUGAUUACCAUUCGGUUGAUCCAGAAACACUCAACCUAUCCAACUAUUUUGCGACGUUACCAAAAACUACUACUACUUUCCAGGUGAAACAUGAAGGGUGAAAAAGCAAACAUGAAUCACUAGAUUUACUACAAAUGAUAUACCGAACAAUCUAACAGUAAAUAUCAACAAGACCAAUCCAACGUUAUCACAAAGCAUAUAUCAAUAAGAAAAAUAUAAAAAUAUUGUUACCUUACUGAAAGCUCCAAUAUUCGGUAAGGUAACAUUGGAGGUCACUAUCAUCUUUCCCGCGAUCAGUGAAUAAAAGCCAAAGAUCUGACUCUUGGAUUCGAGUCAUGGGUUUGGGUCGCAAUUCUCUCGUCGCAUGUUUGAAUACCAAGUUCAUCUUAACAGACUUGGUUUUUUUUAUCAAACAUCUUAACAUAUUUAGGGGUGUGUUCAAUUGGGGAUUUAAGAGAUUUUAAUAGAUUUAUAAAUUUAUAGAUUUAUAUGGAGUUUAAUUGAUUUGUAGAGAUUUCAUGUAAAAUUUUGAUUCAAUUCCCUCGAAAUCUCAUAAGGAGAUGUGAGACUUGAGGAUGUUUAAAAUACACUACGAAAUCUCUCCAAUUGAAUUCCUCAACUUUUUCAAAUUCUUUAAAAUUAAUUUCUAAUUAAAUUCAAUUGAAUGUUGUAAAAUUCUUUAAAAUCGUAAUUGAAUGCAUCCAGAUUUCUAAAUAUUUUAAUAAACUAUCUUAAAAUUCUUAUUUAAUACAUUGAAUUUUAGACAAUUACUUAAAAUUCUUAUUGAAUACCUUUAGAUUCAUUAAAAAAUUUAAAAUUUUUCAAAAUCCCAUUUGAAUACAUCACCCUUAAUAAAUUGUACAUUACAUUAUAUCCCAUUUGAGCACAUUAGCUUAUGCCUCCGGAUUCUGCAUAUCGGGUCGGGUUCCGAAGUUCGAGCUCACAUUUGAUAAUCAAAUUCAUCACAUUUGAUCCAACGGUGGUAAUUGGCAAACCCACCUCGGAGUCAAAAGAUGCGGCCCACGCUCCCUCUCUUUUCCAAAACCCUAGCAAAACCUCGGCCCUAUAAAUACCUUCCACAUCCGCCGCAGGAGGCACCCAAAUGCCCCUUUCUCUUCCCUUUCACACACUAAUCCCUCGCAGAGGCGAUGGGAUUCCCAGUUGCUUCUCCGUCGGAGAAACCUUUCCAACUGCUCCAUCUCUUUGCACCAUCGCCUCUGUUUCUUUUUUAUUUAUUUACUUAAUUAUUUGAGCAAUUUCCUUUAUCCUUGCCAUUCAUAUUUCAGAUUUUCAGCUUGUUUUUUUUUAUCCGAAAAAUAAAAUCGAAGUUGUAUGAGUUUUUUGCAAUUUUGUUGGGUGAGGCCGGUGAUGAUCGAAACAUAUUUUGCCUACAUUGCUUGAUUAUCUUAUUUUAUUGAGAUAAUGAUAAAAUCCGAUGUAUCUGAGGCCUUCCCGGAAGAACGAGCUUUAUUUUAUUUUUUAUUUUUUGGGUAAAAUGUAUUAUUUCAAAUCUUAAUAUUUCAAAAAACUGAAUUUUUAAAUUUCGACUAAAAUGAUGAGUUUUGUUGAUAUUUGCGAUAUAUCACUUAAAUAGUGAAGAAAUUCUUAAUUUCGUCUUAUUAAAUAUGUCAGAUUUUGUUUGAUAUUUUCUCGAUGUCAGAAGUCGAACUUAGAACUCUUAACCAUAAGAAUUGAAUUGAGCUACACUGGAUGCGUUGGAGAAAAUAUUAAUAACUGAAGGAGGAUUUAUGUUAUAACAAAAAUAAAAUAAAAAUGGUAUUCCGGUGCCAGGAUUCGAACCUGGAUGAAAACUCUUAACCAAUAAGACUUUUUGUGGUGAGCUUCACCGGACGACUUGAUAAAUCAUGGCGAAAUAAACUAUUUAAAUGUACUCCUUACGUUGUGCCGUAGAUAAACAAUUAGUGCACAUAAUGUAGUUAUCUGAUUUGUGGGGAAUGGUGAUGCUCACCGCUUAAUGUCGUCGUUGGAUCAGUUUAAGUUUUGAGAUCUGUGAAAUGAAUAAAUACAAAUUUAAAAAUUUAAAUUUAUUUAAUAAUAAUAAGUAUGGUAAUGAGAAAAAAAUGCAUCUUAUGGUUCAGAAACACACUCUCAAAUUUAAAUAACAAUUUUCAUGCUUUCCAACAACACAAAAAUUUUAUAACUAAGAAUCAAUCAAAACAUAAUGAUUGAAUGAGCGAGGAUUUCUUUUAUUUUUUCCAAAUUUUCUGAAGGUUUUUUCUAUAAAAUUUAUGGUGUCAUGAUUGCCUUAAAAGAAUCGUAAAUGUGUUCCUUGAAAAAUAAUAUGAAACCGUAUUUUGAGUUCUUAUGUUUAUUGUUUUAAUUCGAUCUAUCGUUUGAAGCCGCCUCCACCAAAAUAAAUUCAUAUCUAUAUUUUUUCUAUAACGAGUGAUUAAUAAAUCCAACCGUUUUUCAGCACCACAAAAUAAGUUACAACCCGAACACUAACGAGCGAUUAAUGGGUCCAACCGUUUUGCCACAUAUAUAUUUUCUUUUUAUCAAAACAUGCAAAUAUCUUCUUUACCAACUUGAAUCUCCCAUCGUUUGUUUUCUCUUCAUCCACAGAUUUGAUCUGUCUUUUUUGGUGAUCAAACCAAAAUUUUCUUGGACAUGAUUGUACAUACAACCAUUAAUAAACUAUCUCCAACAAAAGCCUAAACAUAGCCUCGUCCAAAAUUAUAGUCUUGCAAAAAAAUAUUUUUUUAAUAAACGAUGUCAAACUAUACUCAUGUACUAUCUUUAACCUGUAUGAAACCUUAAAAUGUAGUGAGCUUCAUCAGUUCAUGUUUAGUGCAAUUAUAUAGAACAAAAUGGUUGUAUUUCAUUUAGGAUUAGGACUUAUAUGUGUGACUUGUAAGGGAUUUAGAGCCACAAAGGAGGGAAACUUGAAGUUACAAUUAUUUGAAUUUGGCGACAGUUAAUCGAAGGAAAUUGCUUGUAACUGCAUCCUUGAUGGGAGGAUGAGUUGCGGAACGUACAUAUAUAUAUAUAUAUAUAUAUAUAUAUAUAUAUCACUUUGAUCUCUCUUCUUAGGUGUGUGUGAUCCCUCACGUAGAAAUAGUCCCAUUGAGUGUUCUUGGAUCAAUUUUGUGACCAAAGGAAGAGAAGAUAUCACAUCCUGGCCCGGGACGGACCACUUCCCGGGCCCACUCCACCACCGUAGCACGAUAUUGUCCGCUUUAGGCCCCGAUUAAGCCUUCACGGUUUUGUUUCUGGAAACUCACGAGCAACUUCUUAGUGGAUCACCCAUCAUGGGAGUGCUCUGCCCACCUUCUCACUUAACUUCGGAGUUCAGACAAAACCCGAAGCCAAUGAUCUCCCAAAAUGGCUCGUGCUAGCUAGGGAUGAGAAUAUACAUUUAAGGAUCACUCCCUUGGACGAUAUGGGAUGUUACAGAAGACAAAUGAUCAAACUUGUUGUCAAUGUCUUCUUCUACAAGUAAGUAAAUUCUCAUUACUUGUUAUAAUCGCUGCAUGCAUAAUGACACAAUAAAUGCAACAAUUAUCAUUCAAUGUUAAGAUUUCUGAACUAGGAUCAUGGUUUAAUUGUUAAUGAUAUAUAUAUCCAAGCAUAACCGAAAUAGCUAAACAUAGCCCCAUAAUAAUUUAUUAUUUUAAACCUUAUACUUUAAAUUAAUUAAUUAAUUUAAUUUAAUUAUCAUUGUAUGUUUUCAAAUUUAGCCGUUUAAUUUGAAUUAAUUGUUGCAACUGAGGAGCUGGAUCCCCAAAAAGGGCUAAGAGGGGUUCUAUAUUUGACCAACUUGAUACCCCUUAGGCUAAUAAUCAUCUGGUGGGCUCCAUAAAAUUAUAGUCUAGUCAUCGGUUGGAAAUAAAUUUUUAGAUAAAUCAAGGUCAUUUUUAGUUUUUAAACCUUUAGUCAUCUCAAUUGAAAAUGACCUUAUGUCUUUAUACGAUGUGCCUCCUAUUUCCAGCUUCAACUCCAACUGAAGGAUGUAAACGUAAUUAUCAUCUAUAGAGAUUCAUCAGAAUUUGAGGGGUUAGAUGACCCCUACUUGCCUCUUAAUGGAUUGGCCUAGGGGUGGGCAAACGGGUAUAGGAACCGCGGGUCGGGGCGGGUACGGACCGGUUCUUAUUUUGUAAAAAUAAAAAUGAGGCGAGGUAGGGCGGGCUUUUGAAAUUUUCGGUUCGGGCUGGUUCCUGAAGUAUGGUAGCGUUUGGUACGUGGGACGGGACGGGACGGAACGGGACGAGCCGUUCCGUCCCACGUUUAGUGCGCCUAAAAACUGUGGAACAGGUUGUUCCAUGGGACAAAAUUUGGCUGAUUUUUCGUUCCACCUCUUCCCCCUGGAACGACCCGUUCCACAUCUGUGGAACACAAAUUUAUAACAUUUUAUGACAAAAUUUCUCCUUAUCUUUUUCAAUAUUUACAUCAUCUGUUCCGUCCUGUUCCAUCUCGUCCCGUCCAGUCCUGUUCCGUCCCGUUCUGUCCCAUCUGCGUACCAAACGGUACCUAUAGGAACCGCGGUUACCCGGACCUGCCCGUUUGUAGUUAGAAUGGACGUAUAAGAUUGAAGAGAUCAUCUCUCCAUCCAAUCUGAAUCGUUGGUUUUAGGUUUGCUCAUCCUCAAACUUAUCGAAUUCAACUGUCACUCUUACUCUGUUGAUCGAGUCUCUCUCGCCGUCUCCAGUGCGUCGUCUCCUUCCCUCCACCACCCCGACAACACGACGGCCCAGACGACCACCAUCUUCUCGAUUUGUCACCUCUCUCUCACCUCUCUCUCGCCAUCUCGAUUUGACAUCCCAAGGACCCAGACUUACAUAACCCAGCCACCCCACCACCCAUCUUCUCGAUUUGUCACCUCUCAUUUGCCGUCUCGAGUGUGUCUUCCCCUCCUUCACCGAGGAGGACGAGAUUCAAAUCCUGCUGGUUUACUCCAAGGAGAUUAACAAGCGCAUGCUCGACACCGUCAAGUCCAGGAACGCCAUUGCUUCCGCUGCUCAAAACGGCGCCAUGGAGUCCGAGACUGUGAGCUCUGCGGUGGAAUGUACCGCUGUUGCCGCCAAUGAAGAUGCUAAGGCUGAAGAGCACAGAUCUCUCCAUGUGUGUUAGGUCACUCUUAGCUUCAUAUUAGCCUAUUAGAGCUUUCAUAUCGAGAUCUGUUCAUAUUUAUCAUGGAUUUCUUGUGAUGCCUAUAUACCUAAUGACCUGUUAAAUAUUUAAACUUUGUUAAUUUCGCUAUGCGCUUCAAUUUUCUGUGGAUUAUAUUAUCUGGGUUUCUGUUGUGAGUAUUGAUCUACUGAGUCUUGAUCUGCUUUGUUCAGAGAUGUUUAUGUUGAAGAUUUUAUAAGGAAGUGGGUGCAUUUGGAAUUGGAAAAUUAUCGAAAUCUUUCCUCUUGCAUUAUUUAGGUUUCCUAUUGCAUAAUCUGCUGCAUUAGUGAAUCUGUGCAAAUUCCAAUUUUUUUUUUUCUAAACAAAAAGAAAACCAAGAACCCGUGGACCCGGCCUGAACCGGCCCAUUUCAACCAGGCCGAGUAAGGUCCAAUUCCUAUAUAAGAAAAUGUAAUCCCCAACUCGGUCCGGCCCAUCUCCUUUGCACCUGGAUCCACCAGUGGCCAUAUGCUAUUGCCCUUUUAUUUUCUUUUUUCUCCUGCCAUGGGCGCAGUCAUGGGUAAGUAGGUAAGUUUGAUUACGCAAUUAAUUGGGCACUCUAGGAGACGCGUAGUGUUAGUGCAGGCUCAAAAGUCAAAAGGUUAAUGAGGAGUGUGGAUGGAAAGCCUGCCCUAAAUACGUUUGUAUUCCUUUGCUGAGUUACUGUACUCUGCCCUUUUCUCCUCUCUUCCUGGAAAAUUCACUCUAUUGAUCUCUGGCCGUGUUUUGCGUGGCAUGAAACAAAACGGUCAAGUAGUGUAUAACAAUUUCAAAAAAAAAGGUCAAAUAGUGUAUAACAAUUUAUCAUAUAGAAAGUUGAUGGUGCUGCAGAUGAUUAAUGAGAGUUUUAACGAAAAACUCACAGCACUGUUUACUUUAACGAAAAGCCACAUUUUUACAUUAAAAAGUCAAACCUAGUACUAUUCAUUUUAUCCUUUAUUUUGUCUUUAACAUUAAAACUCAAAGUUUUCAAACAUUUUUCAUUAGUUUUCCUAUGAUUAAUUGGUGUCCGUAGAAAUUACAUGAUAUCACUCAGACUUUAUCCAACAUAUUAGGCCAUCUCCAACAAAAGUCUAAACAUAGCCCCAUCUAAAAUUAUAUUCUUGUAAAAAAUUAUCUUUUAAUGAAUGAUGUUAGACCAUACUCAUAUAUCAUCUUUAACCGAAAUGGUUAAACACGGCCACUUAAUAAUUUAUUAUUUUAAACCUUAUACUUUAAAUUUAUUGGUUAAUUUAAUUAAACUACCAUUGCAUGUUUUCAAAUUUAGUUGUUUAAUUUGAAUCAAUUAUUGCAACUGAGGAGCUAGAUCCCCAAAAAGGGCUAAGAGAGGGUCUAUAUUUGGUAAGCCUGAUACACUUUUGGCCAAUAAUCGUCUAGUGGGCUCCACAGAAUUAUAAUCUAGUCAUCGGUUGGAGAUGAAUUUUUGAAUAAAUCAGGUAAUUUUUAGUUUUUAAUCCUUUAGUCCUCUUAGUUGAAGAUGACCUUAUGUCUUGCUUUAUAUGAUGUGCCUCCUAUUCCCAGCUUCAACUCCAACUGAAAGAUGUAAACGUAAUUGUCAGCAAAGAGUUAGAAACAUACCCGAAUCCACGUUUUAUAAGCAGAAACUACACUUAUUUGACAUGUUUCCUCAUUUUUUUUACUUGCAAAUUCAAAACCGUCUUGUCGGACCAGUAUAACAAAAUAAUGUUUACGAACAACUGUUAAAACUAAUCACAACAAGUUAAUGCAUAAAGAACUUACGGAUACGGAGGGUGCUAUGAGGCCACCGAAAAGGGUAAACCCCGCAAUAAAUGAAUUCACCUUGUGAUUAAUACUUUGCACAACUUUUUAUGAACCGACAAAAGGCUACAACAAAUUAUGGCUAAAACAGGUCGGGGAUAUGAAAAUAAAUGUCUUCACAGGGUCAGCAGCUUACCAGGGGAGGCAAAAAUGGAAUGAAUGAUGGAAAACUUGAUCUUCAUUUACCGCUCCAAGCUCUGCGCGUUUAAUCCGCUGUUGUAUCCUCAGCCUGCGAACCUACGCAUAUCGAAGCUCAUUCUUAAAGAACACAUUUCUAAUGGCAAUUGGAGAGUAAUUUAAAACAUGCUAAACUGAGAAAGUGGUAGCAACAAGCAAUUGCUCUCACCUCCUCCAUAUGCAAGAAAAUUUUGUUGCGACGACUCCGAAUAUUAUCUUGAAUUUCCUGCAGCUCCAUUGUCGCAAGGUCCUGCACUGUUUCAGGCCCCUCUAUGAUACAAAAUCUGCACAAUUAAGCAUGUAAAAACAAAAAUUUACAGGCUACAAAGCAAUUUCCAUAAUUUUUGGGUUAAUUAACAUCAACAGCAGAUAAAUCACAUGGGUUUUUCACAUAAAGUUACAAACUUUCAAAGACCAGUAAGCUGUCUGCAAUCUCAUAAAUUUCACAGUGCAAAGUAACAAUCCAAAGCUUGGAAAAUUUUCAUUUUCUGUUAAUUUCCUAGAGAGAGAGAGGGGGGAGUACCCGGCGGGGUUUGUAUCGGCGGCGGGAUUGGGAUCAGAAUCGACAGACGGAGCGAAAGAGGAGGAGUCGGGCUCCGAAGCCAUGGCCAGGGAUCACCAUCUGGAGCUGCUUGUUGAUAUGGGGCUUCUUGGGUAGCUGAAUUUGGAGCAGCCGGAGCUACGCAGUUUGUACGGACAGCACCGAUUUACGGGGAAAGAAACGGCAAAAAGUCUGCCGGAGCAGAGCAUCUCUCUCUCUCAAACCAGAAGGCAGAGCUUUCUGUUUCUCUACAGGUUUCUUUCACUGGUAAAUUCCGGAGAAGCAGAGAAGAAGGGUCAAAGGGCCAUGUAUAGUUUUAUAGUCAUACAAAAAAUUAUAUUUUAAUAAAAAAUGUAAGGCCAUAUUUUAUUAGGAAAAUUAAUGAAAAGGCUUGAAAACUUUGAGUUUUAAUGAUAAGGACAAAAUAAAGGGUAAAGUGAAUAGUACCAUGAUUGACUUUUUAGUGUAAAAAUGUGGUUUUUGGUUAAAGUAAACAGUACCAGGUGCUUUUCGUUAAAGUUCCCUAUUUUAUUCCAUAUCCAACUUAGUGGGCCAAUGGACCGUAGGCCAAACAUAGUCAUUUGACAAAAAUCUUAUCUCUAACCGAGAGAGCUAAAGGACCGUAGGCCGAAUAUAACUCCUUAAUAAUUUACUUUUAACGAGUGACUCAAUUAACUAUUUUCAUUUCUUACACGUUCAAAAUUAGACAAAUUCUUUGCAUACAUAAAAAAAAUAUAUAUAUAUUAAGGAGAGAGUAUUAAACUAUUACAUUACGGGUUUCGAACUCGCGAGAACCCUAAUGCCUCUCCACUAGGAUAUUAGACCAGUAAAUUAAAAAGAAAUAUUUAUAGAGGGCUGGAACCAGUCGAAGCUGGGGGGCUAGGCCCUCACGCCCAUAUUAUAUUACUUGAAAAAAAAACAUACAACAAGGAGGACAUAGUACUGAAACCCUGACAAUCAAAAGCAAAAUCAUAUACGACCACUCCAAGCAGUCAACAUAACCAUCACAUAUUGAAUCCAAAAGGUUGACGACCCAUUCGCUGCAUAUAAUGUACAGAAGAUAACAAAUUUUGAAGUGAUGCUCCAAGUAUGAUAUUGGGCAGAAAAGAGCGGCGGCUUCAACCACUUCUUCAGCUAUAUCCGGCUGGGUGAGAGCAGCUAAAGACAUGAUUGUUCCCUAAGAACAUGAAUACAUUGAGUAAACACCAAAAGUAACUGCUAGGGAAGGAGAUUUGAAGUAGAUUAAGAGGUUUAAUACCUGUGAAUGUCCAACAACAAAGACGUUGGAGCUUGUUGAAUACAUGCAGCGCAUCAUUUCUGAUAGAUCAAAUCGAGCCAAUUCCUGCCAACUCCAAUCCCAAAAAUCCUACAGUAAAGCAUAAAUCUUGUUCUUUUCUGAUAAAGAUGUGUCCCUGACUCCAACGUGUUUGACGCACAUUUUCUACCCAUACAUCGAAACCUUCAUCUGCUGGAGAAUUUAAGAAUCAUGCAUCACCUGGUUAAGAUCAAGAAAAGCCAGUAACCAAUUUCAAUUGAGUUUGAAGCACAUUAGAGCCCAAUUUAAAAUGUAUCCGAUGGAUGUUCAUCACUUCACACAAUAGUUAGUUUCAAGAAAGGAAAUUUCAACGCAACCUGAAAACUUCAGAUCAGGGGGCACCAAAUAGUGAGCUAUACAUUCAAAUUUUGAAAUAAUCAACGCACAAUAUGUUGAAAAAAGUUGGAAGGAGCUAUGAAAGUAAGGCUUUUCACUAAUCAGGCGUCCAGAGAAUCAAUAUUUUUACUCACGGAUCAGUUAGGGCGAACACUCCCCACCAAAGCAAUCUCAUUAGUACUUCACAUCUCAAACCAAACAGAAAUUGCAGUAACAAACAUGACAUCUAUUAGUCCUUCACAUCUCAAAUCCAGUAAGUACCCAUCUUUCGUCAGAAUCUGGAAAACAAGCAGCAGUGGAUUUAACAAUCUGGGUAUCUCAAAGUUACUCACUUUAAUCACAACAUAUAAAUGGGCAUUUUCUAGUGAAAUGUUAGUGUAGUACUCACUGUGUUGCUCCGAGCAAGAGUACCCAGAAAGCUCGAUGAGCUGAGCACAGAGGGACUGCAGUGGUGAAACGGCGACCGAUUCUGUAAAAUUCAGUCCGGUUUUGGGUGAUUUCUGAGGCUGAUAAGGAAAGCUGGGACGGAAGGGCACAAGUCUGGAAGAAAGGCUCUGGUCACCAUUGUCGCGAUUCGUGGAGGAAGAAGUGCCCCAAAACAAUUUCAGUCCUGAACAGGUGCACCGUUUGCACUGGGCCAGGGCCGACCCUGAAUCGCUAUAGCGUCCUUCUCCAAACAGUAUAUAUACAGAUGCUAGAAAUAUCUACCAGAACCAUUCAAAUCUAGCAUCUACAGCUUUAGCAUUUAGUUGGUACAAGGUACACUCUUCCGAAGGGAGAUGAAAUCAUUGAGGCUCUUAUAUAUUCCUCCUCUUGAUGUGCCCCUGUAGACUGCUAAUUCCAGACGAUCCAAUCUCAUACAUGUUCCCUGCAAAAGCAUGCGUGCCAGACUUCAAGAUCAAACUCGUUAGCGGAAUAAAUGGUGCACAAAGGGAUUUAAAAUCUUGACAUAUGUGUAUUUUUGGCAGAUUUUAUGCGAGCAUGCAACUAAAACUGGCAUCACUAUCAAUGGUGCACAAAGAUCGGCAGAAAAAACGUAAAGAGAAGCAAUCACAACGCAAAAUGUACGAAGUAAUCUGUCCACGUAUUGGGAAAACAUUAACACUGGAUGAGGGGAAUAAACAUGGAAUUUUGAUAAAAGUCAGAAUUUAUAAAUUGACAUGCAGUAAUUUUCUUGUUUGGAUUUAUAAACAUAUAAAUUUAGAAUUUCCGCGUGGGAAAAACAAAACUUGGAACUUAUGACCUCCAAUUCUCAAGUUUAAAUUUCAUGUAAAUAUGUGUCAUUUCUAAAUUUCCAUGAGAGAGUUUAAAGAUAACAAAUACUGUUAUUUCAAUUUCUAUCAUUUUAAAAUUUCUUAGUAAUCUUAAAUUUCCUCUUCCAAACAGAGUGUAACAGUUUGUAACUUCUCCAUUGUAUUUGUUCAACUAUGCAAUUUUCUGUAAAACUUAAAAGGCUGCUUAGCAUCUCUUGUUCGUUGUAUUGAAUACCAUGGUUUUACCGAUGAAUGCAAAGUUUGCUGAUGAUUCAUACGACAAGCAAUUGAAAAUCCCAUUAUUAUGCCCCACAUCAUUUACACAAAUUCAGAGGGCUCAUCCACUGUAAUUUGCAGGUACAGAAAUGUUAUGAUUAAAGGAAAUGCAAACUACCUUUCACCCAGAUUGGAGGAGCACCGGUGGCAUUAGCAAGUGAGCAACAGGAAUUGACAUACCAAUAUCUUCACAGUUUCCGCACAAGCACAAAUCAAAAGAAUCCGGCGGCGGAGUUAUGUACCUCUUCUUGGAAAAAGACACCUCUUGGGAUUUCAUAAAAUCCGGCUGUGCCUAGACGUCUGACCACGCCAAUUCCACCAAAGCUGCUGCAACGCGGCGUAGUGUCCGAUUGAUUGCUUCAAAACAGAGCUUCGUAUCCAUGUGUUUAUAAGCACAGAGUACCCAAAACCCCAGAAAAUUAUUUCUUUAUUCAGAUAAUAAAAUUUCGCAAAUUUCGAAUUUUAAUUCCGAACCAAAAAUAGGGUUUGAAUUUUGAUUACCUAGAAAUUGGGGGUUGGGGUGGAGAGGGACUGAGGCCAAGACGCAGCUAUGUGUCCGUGAUCAGGUGUGCCAAUUUACAGAGGGUGUCGGGAAGAUGCACAAGGCUUUUGCAGUUUCUCAGAUUUAAAUACUGAAGCCCCGUAAGGCGUUCAAUCCAGGGGGAAAGCUCUUUGAUAGAUGUUCCAUCCAAGAAAAGCGCUCUUAAUCCUUCCAUAUUUUCUUCAAUGCUUGGAAACACCUCAAACUUUGUACAACCGGAAAGAGAGAGAUAGACCAGGGACUUGAGCUGACAAAUGCUGCUUGGAAGACCCUUAAGUUCCUUGCAAUCAUCUAGCUUUAAAUAACUCAAUCCCGUGAGAUUAUUAAUUGACGAGGGCAGUUCUUUAAUUUUUGACCCGGAAAAAUAAAGAACUUUUAACCCCUCAAUCACUUCUGAAAUCUCUGGAAACAUCUCUAGACUCGAGCAACCAGAAAGAUUAAGAGUUUUGAGAGAUUUCAUACGAAUGCUGCUUGGAAGACACUUAAGUUCCUUGCAAUCAUCUAGGAGCAAAUGACUCAACCCCGUGAGGUUAUUAAUUGACAGGGGUAGUUCUUUAAUUUUUGACCCGGAUAACUCAAGCUCUUCUAACCCCUCAAUCACUUCUGAAAUCUCUGGAAACAUCUCUAGACUCGAGCAUCCAGAAAGAUUAACGGCUUUGAGAGAUUUCACAAGAAUGCUGCUUGAAAGACACUUAAGUUCCUCGCAAUGAUCCAAGCUUAAAUAACUCAACCCAGUGAGAUUAUUAAUUGACGAGGGCAAUUCUUUAAUUUUUGACCCGGAUAAAUCAAGAAAUUCUAACCCCUCGAUCACUUCUGAAAUCUCUGGAAACAUCUCUAGACUCGAGCAACCAGAAAGAUUAAGCACUUUGAGAGAUUUCAUACGAAUGCUGCUUGGAAGACACUUAAGUUCCUUGCAAUCAUCUAGGUGCAAAUGACUCAACCCCGUGAGGUUAUUAAUUGACGGGGGUAGUUCUUUAAUUUUUGACCCGGAUAACUCAAGCUCUUCUAACCCCUCAAUCACUUCUGAAAUCUCUGGAAACAUCUCUAGACUCGAGCAGCCAGAAAGAUUAAGGGUUGUGAGAGAUUUCAUACGAAUGCUGCUUGGAAGACACUUAAGUUCCUCGCAAUUAUCUAGGCUUAAAUAACUCAAACCACUGAGAUUAUUAAUUGAUGGGGGCAAUUCUUUAAUUUUUGACCCGGAUAAAUCAAGAACUUCUAACCCCUCAAUCACUUCUGAAAUCUCUGGAAACUUCUCAAGACUCAGGCAGCCAGAAAGAAAGGAAUUUAAGAGAUUUCAUACGAAUGCUACUUGGAAGACACUUAAGUUCCUUGCAAUCAUCUAGGAUCAAACGACUCAACCCCGUGAGGUUAUUAAUUGACGAUGGCAGUUCUUUAAUUUUUGACCUAGAUAAAUCAAGCUGUUCUAACCCCUCAAUCACUUGUAAAAUCUCUGGAAACAUCUCAAGACUCCAGCAGCCAGAAAGAUUAAAGGUUUUGAGAGAUUUGAUACGAAUGUUGCUUGGAAGACUCUUAAGUUCCUUGCAAUUUUCUAGGUUCAAAUGACUCAACCCCGUGAGAUUAUUAAUUGACGAGGACAGUUCUUUAAUUUUUGACUUGGAUAAAUCAAGCUCUUCUAACUCCUCCAUACCUUCUAAAAUCUCUGGAAACAUCUCAAGACUGGAGCAGCCAGAAAGAUUAAAGGUUUUGAGAGAUUUCAUACGAAUGCUGCUGGGUAGAAUCUUAAGUUUCUCGCACCCUUUCAGAUUCAAUAAAACAAGGUUUCUAAGAGUCCUAAUAGACUGGUGAACCUCAACUAAGCUUCUACAACCUUGAAGAAUUAGCCUCUCAAGAUUUGGCACAUUUGUGAAGUCAGGGGUUUCCUCAAGGUAUUGACAAUAACUUAAAUUGAUGACUUCCAACUUUUCCAGCGUCUGUUAAAACAUUUAGGAAAGCAUGCAUUACUUAAUAAGACAUCUCACUCAAAACCCAAACAUUUAAAAGAAACAAAUACAUGUAAAUGAUUGUACAUACCUGGGUUCCUUCCCAAAGUCGGUCAAUGAGACUAAAUUGCAUGUCAAGUUCAACAAGAUUUUUGAAUUGAAAGUUGGAUAGCAAAGACUUGAGAGGGAAUCCAAACCAGGAGAGAUACCUCAAGUUAAGUAACUUAAAGGGCCCAAUCAAGUGGUGUUUGCAGUAAUCAUGUUUAGAAAUGGAGUCCUUAUGACUGAUCUUGAUAAGUCUUAGUUGAUUCAUGCUAACAAAAGCUUCAGCAUUUAAGCAUACCCAGUCUGAGUACGAGAAAUCCACGAUUAUGCUUUCAACUGAUUUUGUAGCCUGUGUAAAUCAAAGUAAGGGAAAAUACAGAGAACCUUAGUUUAGAUUAUGAAACUAAUACUUGUUUCUUAAGGAGCCGUUUGAUAAUCAUUUUGUUUUUAGUUUAAUUGUUUUCAAUUUUCAAUUAUUAAAACAAUAAACACUAAAGGUUGUACCCAGUGCACAAGGCUCCCGCUUUACGCAGGGUCUGGGAGAGAUGAAUGUUGGCUAGCCUUACCCCCAUUUAUGGAGAGGCUGCUUCCAAGUCUCGAACCCGAGACCUACCGCUCAUGGGCGAAGGCACUUGUCAUCACACCAAGUGCGACCUCUUAUUAAAACAAUAAACACUAAAAAUUAAAAAUUAAAAACAAAAAUACUUAUCAAACGGACCUAAGAAAUUGAUUUUGAUCAAAAGUUGAAACUUUUUAUUGACAAUAAGAAAAAGAUUUCUCACCGUAUUUUGAGAUAGCACGUGAUGAACAUCUUCAUAACUACACAACCUACUUCGUCUCCCAGGCUCUUUGAUACAUUCUUGGCGGACGAUUUCCCGACCCAUUUCCUCUAAUGAAUCAUGCAUCUCCAGUUCCCCCUCCCCUGAGACAGUUAUGAGAGCUCGAUCGAUUAGAACUCUUAUUCCAGUAUAAGGAUGGAAACCACAAACUUCCAGAAUUCGGGUUGCACAGUCUUUCUUCAUCCCUUUAAAGAAACAUGCAAUGUCCAGAAAGAUGUCCUUCUCCUUGUCAUCUAGUCCAUCGAAGCUUGAUUUAAGCACAUCAUGAAUUCCCCUUCGUGGGAUUUUCCUUAUUUUUUCUAACUCAUCUUCCCACUCGCGUAUAGUUUUGUUACCAAGAAAAGCUCCCAAGACUUUGUGUGCUAAAGGCAGGCCUUGAGCAUAUUCUACGACAUGAUUCGAGAGAUCAUCAUAAUCUCUGGUAGGUUGGUUUUUUCUGAAGGCGUGCCGCCUAAAGAGUUUCAGAGCUCCAGAAUCACUCAAAAUCUUGGGAUUAUAUAUCACAUCAGCUAUGCUUAGUAAUUGCGAAUCUCUAGUUGUUAUAAUAAUUCUGCUUCCACAACCAAAGGAAUGUGGCUCUUCAAGUAAAGCUUCAAUUUGUUCUAAUUCGUCCACAUCAUCAACAACAAUAAGAACUUUUCUCUGACCAAGGCUUUUUAACAUCACCUGAAAACCAUUUUUUGAUAUGUCAGAACUCCCCACCUUGUUGUUCGAGAUAUUCGAUAGAAGUUGUGCCUGCAUAUGUAGUUUGCCAUGCUUCAUGAAACCUUCCUUGAAAUUUUCAAGAAAGCAACAAGCUUCAAAUCGAUUAGCGAUUUUAUCAUAAACAGCUCUAGCGAUGGUUGUUUUGCCUAAACCACCCAUACCCCAUAUUCCAACAACGCGAACAUUAUUCGUUUCACCUCCGGGAGGAUAUAAUAAUAAAUGCAUUUCAUGCAUGUGAGAAUCCAUGUCAACCAAGCCAUUAUCUUUGCUUGAUGUUGAUGAGAUGUCGAUCAAUUUCCUAUAAACAUCUUCUACAAUUUCCUCAAUAAGCACCGCAUCAUUUCUGUCAAAUUUAAAAAACAAUAUAAUAACACCACCAAAUGAUAAUUAAUGGGUCUUUUUCAUCUGUUAGUUUUCAAAAAAAUAGAAAUUAAAACUAAAAACUAAAUAUUUAUCAAAUUACCCCUAAACGUUACAAAAAUCCCAAAAAUUACUAGGAAACUAAAACAAAUUAGAAUUUACUCAUAGUUUCGCGAAUCCCAGCCGGCUAAACUGGUGGCAGUUGUAAGAGCGGAUCUCCAGCUCCGAACCUCCUCUAUUUCGGCGUUAGAAUCGAUAUCGUGCUGAGCAAAAGCUUCCGCGAAACUUUUCUUGAGUUUACGAACAUCAGACGGAUCAACUUCAUAGAAAAUGGGGAGUACAAUCUGGUUAUUGGUACCUUGCAUUCCAGGAUUUGCACGAGUUCCUUCAAGCACCAAGUGGAAGAAGCAUAGUUUUGAGAGAAAACUACAAUCGAAAGCCUCGACUCUUGAAUCGCUGUCAGGAGCUCGGAAAGGUGGUCGCCUUUUCUGAACUUUUCGGCAUCAAUGAAGGCGUUGAUUGGUUUCUUAGCCAGAGCGUUGUAGAGAUGGCUGACGAAGCCCCUGCGAGUGUCUUCCCCUCUGAAAUUGAUGAACACAUCGUAUUUCCAACCAAAGCCAGAAGAAGAAAAAGAAGAAGAAGAAGAAGCAACCAUUUAUCGAUCGCACCUGGUCACCGAUGAUCGAGCAGUUAUGACUAAGAGAAUUGUAAGUACAUAAAUACUCAAUGAGUCAAUGCAAAAGGGAAAAAGCGAAAAGGAAAUGGUUGUGAUAUCCAUACUUUAUUUUACUUUUUUAUACAUUUUUGAUAAUUUAUUUUUGUUAAUUUUUUUUAAUUCAUCUAGUUUUACAUUUAAAAAUUAAAAAAAUUUAUGAGAAGUUGAAAUGUGUGAAUAUCACGUCCAAAGGAAAAUUAUGCUUUUAUGUGUUUUCAGAUCUUCUUCAGGGAAAUUUCGAUGGGAAUGGAAUCUGCAUGCUUUUGAUUUUUAACCCAAGAAAAUGCCAAGAAAGGGGUCAAAGUAGUAAAUUUAAUCUACACUUGCCUACCCAACCACCUCUUAAUUUAAUAUAUUUAAUCGAGAAAAGUAGGUUAGAGGAAGGAUGGUAUCUCCUUUUCCUCUCUCAGUCUUCCAGCAUGCCAUUUAAUCAUGAUUAAGGCUAAAGCUUAAUUAUAGAUCUUGAUUGGAUUAUUAGUUUCCGUUGUAAUAUGGUGGUUAGAAGAUUAAAAAAAUUAUGAUUUAUGCUUUCAUAUGCUAACAAUUAAUGAAGAAUUAACAAAAUUUUAAAUUUUAAAUCUAAAUCCUAACAUAUUUUACCAUAGAAGCUUAAAUCUUAAUUUACUUAUCACAUGGAUUAUUUUAUAACUACCUUACUAUUAAUUCAAUUAAACCUAUUAUUUCUACGAAAACUAAAGAAAAGUUAAAAAAAAACUUUAGUUUUAAUGAAAAAAGAAAAAUGAAUGUGUAGUAAAUAAUACCAGAAAAAAAUAAAAAAAAUAAUUUUUUAUUAAAAAUAAACAGUAUAAAAAAUGUUGCAUUAAUACUCUCAUUAUUUAUUUACAAAUACGUGACUAAAUCACAAAGUGUUAGAAUGAAAGGGAGCGCUCAAAACGAUGAAAAGCAGGAGCACAGAAAGCUAUCUCCGUUUCUUUGUUGAGCGGACAACUGUUUAUUUGUCGUUCUUUUGGCAGAUAGCUCCUAAUGGCCCAUUUCCACAGCUGGUUAUAGGAUUCUGUUGCUAUAUAAGAAGUGUUUUGUUGUAAUUCAAUAUCGAUGGAAAUUCAACAGGAUCUUUUUCAAAAUUUUGUGAGGAUUUUGGGGUGUUCGUGAAUCUUGUUCAUCGUAUAUUGUGUAGUUGUUUUUUAUCGAAUAUUAUUUUUGUUUAAUUUUAAAUAAAGUAAUUUAAAAUAAUUUUUUACUGCAAGAUGUAUGAUGAACGUAUAUGAUUCACAGAUCUCCAAAAUCCUCACAAAGAAAAUCCAAAAAUGAUCUGAAUUCAAUGGAGAUAAGUUAAUUUUGAAUCAAAUAACAUUAGGAAAGAAAAAUAACAUUAGACGCCAGUCGGGCGAAGGAUUGGAGCCUAGUGCCUAGGCAGCUAGGCGAAGCCUGGGCGAUUAGGCGGCUAGGCGGCCUAGACGGUUUUAAAUAAUUUAUUGUAUAUUUGUAUAAAAUUAUUAUUAGCACUUCAAAAAUCUCAUUUUAUACUCCAAAUUUUCUAUAUUAAAAAAGAAAAAUACACUUAUGAUGAGUGUAGAAUGAGAUUUUUGAAAUGCCAAUACACUUCUCUAUUUUUAUUAUAUAAAUCAGUUGGACUUAAAAAAGAAAAUAAAGAAAAUAAAACAUUGUUCAAAAACUAAAACUCUAUAAAUAUAAAAAGUCAGGUCUUGAUUUAUCAUUACAAUUGAUAAAUAAAGGAGUGUGCUAUCUACACAACUUUUUUUACUUCUCACUCCUAAAUAAAAAAAUGAUGUGUGGAUAUCACAUCCCUAAAUAAAAUAUAUAAAUAUAGAUAGUUGGAGGAUAUCCAAGAGACAUUCUUUGGAGGAUUUUAGAGAAGAAAGGAGUACGAGUAUAUAUCCAAGCUAUAAAGGAUAUGUAUGAAGGAGCAAAGACUGCCGUAAGAACUCAUGAAGGACAAACCGAAAGCUUUCCCAUAACUGUAGGAUUACAUCAAGGCUCAUCCUUAAGUCCUUACCUUUUUGCGUUGGUAAUGGAUAAGUUAACAGGACAUAUUCAAGAUGAUAUUCCUUGGUGUAUGCUUUUCGCAGACGAUAUAGUGUUGAUAGAUGAAACUCAGGAAGGGGUAAAUGCAAAGCUUAACCUUUGAAGAGAAGUGUUGGAAUCUAAAGGUCUUCGCCUAAGCCGAUCAAAGACAGAAUAUAUGGAGUGCAAGUUCAGUACAAAUGAAGGCCAAAACGAGUUAGGGGUGAGGAUCGGAGAUCAAGAAAUACCAAAGAGCAACCGUUUUCGUUACCUAUGAUCUAUCUUGCAAAAGAACGGAGAAUUAGAUGGAGAUCUCAAUCAUAGAAUGCAAGCUGGAUGGGUGAAGUGGAAGAGUGCAUCCGGCGUGUUGUGUGACCGCCGUAUGCCACUGAAGCUCAAGGGAAAAUUUUAUAGGACGGCAAUAAGGCCGGUGAUGCUGUAUGGCACAGAAUGUUGGGCAGUGAAGCAUCAACACGUACACAAAAUGGGUGUAGCGAAGAUGAGGAUGCUUCGUUGGAUGUGUGGGCACACGAGAAAGGAUAAGAUUAGGAAUGAGGAUCCGGGGUAAAGUAGGAGUAGCCGAAAUUGAAGGAAAGAUGAGAGAAAAUCGGUUACGGUGGUUUGGACAUGUGCAAAGAAGGCCUACUGACGCUCCGAUUAGAAUAUGCGACUAUGGGACAGAGGUUCAGGGCCGAAGGGGUAGAGGAAGACCUAGGAAAACUUUGGAAGAGACUUUAGGAAAAGACUUAGAGUACUUGGAUCUAACGAAGGACAUGACACAGGACCGAGCACAAUGGCGUUCUAAGAUUCAUAUAGCCGAUCCCACUCAGUGACUUGGAUUUUCCAAGUCUCCAACCGAGAAGUUUUCCUCACUCGGGAAAUUAAGGGAACACUACCUCAACCUACAUGCUCCACUCACAAAGCUUCAACAAAAGAAAAUUCAAAGAACUUAGCGAAGAAUGAUUUGGUGUAUUUAACACAAACGUUGAAAUGAAGGAAAGCUUAUUUAUUGAUAUUCCCGAUAAGCUACAAAUAUGUACAUAUACAUAAGGUUGCUUAGGAGAAGUCUCAGCAGCCGGUAGAGCCCCAGAAAGAGAAGGCACCAGAGGGGGAUCAUUCGGAGCCUCAGAACUGGACAGAACCCUAGAAGGAUGAGGCAUCAAAGGUUGAUCAUUUGGAGCUUCAUUACGCGGUACAGCCCCAGAAGAUGAAGGCAAUAAAUGCCUUUGGAACAAACCCACAAAUCUCUGAUGAUCAAGUAAAACCUGACCAUCAGAUUCCUUCAUCUGGUCAAGCUUCCUCUUCAUGUUUGUAGCAUAGUCAUGUGCGAGCCGGUGCAACUGUUUAUUCUCAUGCUUGAGCCAUCUAAUCUCCUGUUUGAGACUCAUCACUUUAGCCGCCAAUGAUUCAACUUGGCGGGUUCAAGCAAAUAGGCGUUGGGCCGUAUUAGACACAGAACCUGCACACUGAACACUGAGAGCCAGCGAAUCCUUAACAGCUAACUCAUCAGACCGUUUGGAAAGUAGUUUGUUAUCUUUGGGAGUGAGAAGGUUCCUGGCCAUCACCGCAGCGGUCAUAUCAUUCUUCAUUACGAAAUCCCCAACGGUAAGAGGACCAGUAGGGGAGACGAAGGAUGUGCGCCAUAUGUUGUCUGGAGAAGGCGGGGCUGCCUCUUUAACAAGGUUCAAGUCAAAACGACGGUCGGAGGGGCCAGACAUUUUCAAAGGUGUUGAAGAGAGAAGAUGUCGGAUAAAUCAAGAUCUUAGAAGUGCAAGAAUGGAGCUUCUACUGGUGGAUUUCAAGUGUGCUUUAGAACUUAAUGACAGCCCCUAUAAAAAUCUGCACUCGACGGAGCUUCAGAAAUCGAAGAGGCGUUUGCUUUCUCAAAAGUUGGGCUGCUCAAAGACCACGAAGGCCAAUCUCAGAAAUCGAAGAGGCGCUCGCUUUCUCAAAAGCUGGGCUACUCAGAGACCACGAGGGCCGAUCUCAGAAAUCGAAGAGGCACCUACUUUUCCAGCCUUGUCAGCACCUGUCACACGCACACUCAGCUUUGCGGAAAUUAUGGGCAUUCUGUCGAAGACUUCUGGUGAAGUAAAAAGCACAUGAAUCUUACUGUUCAAUCACCCACUUCCCACACGCAACAAUAGCUCAUGGGUACCACAGAUAACUUUGCCAAAGUUGAGCACGUGAAGCUUGCAGCUCCUACUACAUCGCUCUGACCAAGAAGGGUAAAAGAAUAGCAAAGAAACAGCACUAACAAAGUUUAGACCCAUAAAUUUUGAAGGUCUAGCUACCAUAUUAUUACCCACAAGGGUAAAGGAACAGUACCACUGCUGGAUAAUUGGAAAGUCCCUGUGUGUCAACCUCUGUGCUUCGUGGCAAGGUAGACUAGCAAACAUGCCCAACCUUUACUCACAUUCGAGAAAACACUCCCAAUAAGAUUGCUUGCUCCAAAAUCGAAGAGGCACCGUCCUCCGAAUCUCGAGAGCCAGACUCCCAACAUGAAUACUUUCUCAAAAAAAUCGAAGAGAGGGUAAAGGAACAGUACCAUUGCUGGAUAAUUGGAAAGUCCCUGUGUGUCAACCUCUGUGCUUCGUGGCAAGGUAGACUAGCAAACAUGCCCAACCUUUACUCACAUUCGAGAAAACACUCCCAACAAGAUUGCUUGCUCCAAAAUCGAAGAGGCACCGCCCUCCGAAUCUCGAGAGCCAGACUCCCAACAUGAUUACUUUCUCAAAAAUCGAAGAGACACUGCUAUCCCGAAUCUCGAGAGCCAGACCCCCAGCAUGAUUGCUUUCUCAAAAAUCGAAGAGGCAUCGUUCUCCGAAUCAAUCGAAGAGGCGCUCGCUUUCUCAAAAGCUGGUGGGCUGCUCAGAGACCACGAGGGCCGAUCUCAGAAAUCGAAGAGGCACCUACUUUUCUAGCCUUGUCAGCACCUGUCACACGCACACUCAGCUUUGCAGAAAUUAUGGGCAUUCUGUCGAAGACUUCUGGUGAAGUAGAAAGCACAUGAAUCUUACUGUUCAAUCACCCACUUCCCCACACGCAACAAUAGCUCAUGGGUACCACAGAUAACUUUGCCAAAGUUCUCUGCCAAAGUUGAGCACGUGAAGCUUGCAGCUCCCACUACAUCGCUCUGACCAAGAAAGGUAAAAGAAUAGCAAAGAAACAGCACUAACAAAGUUUAGACACAUAAAUUUUGAAGGUCUAGCUACCAUAUUAUUACCCACAAGGGUAAAGGAACAGUACCACUGCUGGAUAAUUGGAAAGUCCCUGUGUGUCAACCUCUGUGCUUCGUGGCAAGGUAGACUAGCAAACAUGCCCAACCUUUACUCACAUUCGAGAAAAACACUCCCAACAAGAUUGCUUGCUCCAAAAUCGAAGAGGCACCGUCCUCCGAAUCUCGAGAGCCAGACUCCCAACAUGACUACUUUCUCAAAAAUCGAAAAGGGUAAAGGAACAGUACCAUUGCUGGAUAAUUGGAAAGUCCCUGUGUGUCAACCUUUGUGCUUCGUGGCAAGGUAGACUAGCAAACAUGCCCAACCUUUACUCACAUUCGAGAAAACACUCCCAACAAGAUUGCUUGCUCCAAAAUCGAAGAGGCACCGCCCUCCGAAUCUCGAGAGCCAGACUCCCAACAUGAUUACUUUCUCAAAAAUCGAAGAGACACCGCUCUCCGAAUCUCGAGAGCCAGACCCCCAGCAUGAUUGCUUUCUAAAAAAUCGAAGAGGCAUCAUUCUCCGAAUCUCGAGAGCCAGAUCAUCAAUAGGAUUGCUUGUUCGAAAACCGAAGAGGCACCACUUUCCCAACUUCAAGAGCCGGAUCUCCUUGGAUAAAGCUUGUCUAUAAUCUUCACACGGAACAUCAGCUUUCCAGAUACCACAGACCACUUUUUCAAAGUGCUCUGACAGAGUUAAAACAUGUGAAGCUGGCAGGUCCCACUACCGUGCUAUGACUAAGCAGGGUAAAGGAAUAGCAUUACUACUUGUUGUUAGGGAGACUCCUAUAUAUGUCGACCUCCAUCCCCAACGACAGGCAGACCUGCAAAAAUGCUCAACCCUUCCUCAUAUCUGAGAGGCCACUCCCAACGAAGCCUUUCAAAAUAUUCAGCUUUCUUCCCCCUCCCCGAUAAUACCUCUGCAAACAAGCUAUACUAGAGCAAGAAUAUCUCAUAUCAUCAGGGUUAAAAGCAAGAGUAUCCCAUAUCAUGCUUUUUCCCUGUCUUUUCCUUUGGCCUUGUUUUUACCUGCAAGACAAGGAGAAAGAGAGCAAUCAGUCAGCACUUGGAAUCAAGCUUCCAGCCAGGAACUGACUGCCUGGAACCCCUUACCUGAUUACUUACCUGGCAUUGCUCUCGAGUACUCAUCUUCAACAUCUUAUGUUUCCAGGGAAGAUUACCGCAUCUGCCUUGAGGAACAGAUAGGGCAAGUGCGAAGGAUACAAGGAAGCAUGUGGAGACAAGCGUAACAGCACACGUGCCGAUACAUCCAUUACUCUGUCAAAAGCAAAAGUAUCCCAUAUCAGCAGGGUCGAACGUACUCUAGAUUUGAUGGACUUGUUUUGACCCUCAAAUUCUUCAGUCGGCCUUAUACUCUGGAGGAAACCAGAAAACCCUCCAGCUCAGUUCAAGAAUAAGCCUGUGGAAAGUUACUUCUUCAAAAGCAAAAGUAUCUCAUAUCAUCUCUUCUCAUUUUUCUUCUCUUUAUCCUUCAUGCUGCCUGCAAGAUGGGGAGAAGGUGAACAAUCAGCCGGAGCUCUGAUUGCUUACCUUGUCUGUCACCUCUUUCAGCAGAUCCCCUAGCUCGGCGACUUGGGGGACUCCUACUACAUGGUUUGUAUCGCGCUUGACCAAGCCUGAAACUACAAGUAAGCUUCAAGUGAAAUUGAUACAUUACCUUGUGCAUCUCCACCAGUUAAAGAUACCACCCCUGGAUGGAGGAAGAGUACUUCCAGAGAAGAUGCCACAUCUACCUAUGAGACAGAUAAGGCAAGUCAAGACGAUACCACACUCCGAUACUUAGAAGUUUCGUGAUUACGAGAUCAUUCUCCCACAAUAUUUCCUAAUGUCAUUUGUACUAAAUCAUUCACUUGUACUCACUAAAGGAGAGCUUGAACCUAUGUACUUGUGUAAACCCUUCACAAUUAAUGAGAACUCCUCUAUUCCGUGGACGUAGCCAAUCUGGGUGAACCACGUACAUCUUGUGUUUGCUUUCCUAUCUCUAUCCAUUUAUAUACUUAUCCACACUAAUGACCGGAGCAAUCUAGCGAAGAUCACAAAAAGCAACCGUUUUCGCUACCUAGGAUCUAUCUUGCAAGAGAACGGAGAAUUAGAUGGAGAUCUCAACCAUAGAAUACAAGCUGGAUGGAUGAAGUGUAAGAGUGCAUCCGGCGUGUUGUGCGACCGUCGUAGGCCACUGAAGCUCAAGGCAAAAUUUUAUAGGACGGCAAUAAGGCCAGCGAUGUUGUAUGGCACAGAAUGUUGGGCGGUGAAGCAUCAACACGUACACAAAAUAGGUGUAGCGGAGAUGAGGAUGCUUCGUGGGAUGUGUGGGCACACGAGAAAGGAUAAGAUUGGGAAUGAGGAUAUCCGAGGUAAAGUAGGAGUAGCCGAAAUUGAAGUAAAGAUGAGAGAAAAUCGGUUCCGGUGAUUUGGACAUGUGCAAAGAAGGCCUACUGACGCUCCGGUUCGAAGAUGUGACUACGGAACAGAGGUUCAGGGCCGAAGGGGUAGAGGAAGACCUAGGAAAACUUUGGAAGAGACUCUAAGAAAAUACUUAGAGUACUUGGAUCUAACGGAGAACAUAACACAAAACCGAGCGCAAUGGCGUUCUAGGAUUCAUAUAGCCGACCCCACUUAGUUGGAAAAUGCUUUGUUGUUGUUGUUGUUGUUGUAUAGAUAGUUGGCGCUUUGUAGUGGGCGGUAAGUUCUAGUUUUACCAUUAAAAAAUAUACACUGUCAAACUAGUGUGGGUUCUAUCAAUUUUUUUAGUAUUUUAUUUAUUUUUUCACUCUGUCUCCGUGCCAUGGUCUUGAUAUUAUCACUCCUUUAAUAUUUUAUUCAUAUUUUAUUCUACUUGAUUUAUGAUGGUGUGUUUUUUUGACCAAGGUUUAUAAUGGUGUUUGUUCUAUAAGUCGGCAUAUUUGCCAACCGCAAUCGAUACUGUCGUUCUCAAACACAAAGCAAUAGUUUGCUACCGAAAACAACCAAAGUGUGACAAAGGGAACCGUCUUACACCUAACCUGUUUUUCCCUCAUCAAAUGAGCGCGUUGAUCUGCAGGUAUUUUCUGCCAUCUCAAAACCUGUUACAAAGAAAUAUAACGUUGAUGUCGAGCUGGAUAGCAUAUUAUACCAAUUAUGUGUACAAACCUAUUGAAAUAAAGUAGCUGUAGUUGCAUAUUACGACAGAUAUUAACGAAAACAAAAGAAGGCUCGCCUAUUCAAGAUCCUAAAUCCCGUGAUUCUUUUGUUUUUAGUUUCAGAAAUUUUCAGAGCACAAACUGGAAAGUACCAAGAUACUUACAUAUUGGGCAUAAUGAAAUGCAUCUUCAUCUUUCAAGCAAGAUUUGAGUGAGCGCAAACCGUCCUGAGAGUUACAUAAGUCAAUCAGUAAUAUAAAAACGUAUACGCAUCACAUCCAAACACAAGUAUUCAAACACCAACAACUUCUUCAUGCGGUGAGGCAUGUUAAAAAAUAGGGAAGAACAGUUAUUGAAUAGGAAGUUAAAGGACUAAAUUUAUGACCUUGUGUUUGUAGUUCUUGGCUCGUAUGCGUUCAUCUAUUACAAAACCAAUCUGUAACAGGUACAACAGAAAAUAUAAGCAGUAGUCAGAACAUUAAUCUUCGGCAUUCACAUUGCCACCAAUCCAAAGUUAAAAGUCUGAAGGCAAAACAGUAUGAUUCUUAUCUCUCAAACAAAAAUGAAACUAUACCCCGGUCUCAGACAUAAAUGAAAUAAGUUCUACUGCCUCAACUGAGUACUGUGAUUAUAUAUAAAUCCAAUUCACCUUGUCAAGUAAUCUCUUAGGAUCUUGAAAUGCUUCCUUCUUAGCCCAGUCAUUAAAUACAUGCGAGAAAAUUGAUCUCUCAUCCACACUGAAUCUAUUGCACAGUGACAGAAGAAUAAAGUUAAACAUGAACAUAACCAACCAAAAAUGCUAGUUAUAAUAGUACACCCAUAAUUGCAAGCAAAACCUUUUUAAGAAGCCAUUUCCAUGGUUUUCCUCCCCAAAUUCCAUCAAUUCUGCAGAGGCAACGUCAAAUUUACUAUGAUGGAGAUCAUUUUGCACUGUAAUAACUUCAGAAGGUAGGAGAUUUGGUUUCAGAUCAUCUGUUGACGGAGUAGUUUCUUUUGAAGUGUCAUGAUGCUUUGAUUGCAAGCCUUCUGUACUUACGUCAGCCUACAAAACAAAAAUUGCAUUCAUCCACACUAGACUUAAUAAGAUUAGAAACACUUCAGAUUCUUCAUUAUUUGUAUUUUUGACUAAACAGCAGAACAACUGAGGAUAAUGAACAGUAAUACACACCUGGACUUCUCGUAGAUGAUUUGGAAUUUCUUUCAGAAAUCGCGAAGGUUGAAGCAUCUGAAGGAGUCACCUUCUCAGUCAGAGCAACAACAACAAAUAAGGAGGACAGGAAUUCAAGCUAAAACGAACCUGCCAACUGGAAUCCAUCGUAACAUAAAGAAUGAAAAGCUUUUUUCGAGCACGAGUCAUUGCAACAUAUAAUAGGCGUCUCUCCUCCUAUGAUUAGAGUGGGAUUAUUGAGUUAUUGAUCAAAAGAAAAAAGAGUGGGAUUAUUGUGAAAAACAUGUCAAAGCUCUGCAUAUAACUGAAAAAUGUUGAACAAUUUACCACACACCUCAAUGGAGGUCCCAUUUUCUUUUGCAACCCCAUUGAAUUCAUGCAACAACGGGAUCUCAGAUUCAUUUACCUGUGUUAUUGGCAUGAGCAUUAAAGCAAGCUAAGAUGAUUUGAAGAGGUUGAUAUCGUCAUGAAUAUAGUAGAACAGAGAAUACCAAUUUCAAGCCAUCAAUUAGGUAUAGCAUUGGCAUGUUUAAUCCGUAAAAUCUAAUGACAGAACACCUCAACUCUACACAUAAAUAAAUAAACAACCUGAAAAAUAUUACAGCCACAUGUUAAGGCAAAUACCUUAAUUAUGAAAACUAUAUCCCACUCUAAACCUUUUGACUGCAAGAGAAUGAAAAAGAAAGACAGUAAGCCAAGAAUGUUUUGUAGAACUCCAAAGGAAGUCCAAUAGGGAAAUCAUCGCAAGUAUAAGAGUUAGCGAGGUUCGCAUAAGAGGAUAUCAAAAAGAUCUAGAACCUGAUGAAUAGUAGUCAAAGUGACAGAACUUUGGUUGUCAUGUCUUCGGGAGUGAAAAUUUUCACUCUCCUGCUCAGAUAUGUAGUCGAUGAAAGCUUUGAGUAAAUUAACGCAGCCUUUUUCUUCUGCUACGACUUCUCUCUCUCCCCUUUUCCCGCAACAAAAUGAGUUGAUAAGAAAUCAGAUACGUCGUCUAGUAGGUACUGAAGAACCUGCAAUGAGAAUAAUCGCAUCACAGCAACAGGGUUGGACCAAGAUUUAAGUGACAACAAUGAUUAACUAACUAAAAUAGAGAAAUUAUUCAUUUAAGACCUUGUUGACGGAAAAAAGGGUUUUCCAAGCAGCGGGUCAUUUAAGCUUAUUGUAUAAAUGACAAUCAUCACAAACGGCAAACUUACAGAUCUCACGUCAUUGUCUUCAUUCAGCAGUUUUCCUCCAUCUACAUCAACGACUGCACGUUGCUCAAGACGGUACUUCUAAAAAUUGAAAGUCAACAACAACAACAACAACAACAAAGCCUUUUCCCACUAAGUGGGGUCGGCUAUAUGAAUCCUAGAACGCCAUUGCGCUCGGUUUUGUGUCAUGUCCUCCGUUAGAUCCAAGUACUCUAAGUCUUUUCUUAGAGUCUCUUCCAAAGUUGUCCUAGGUCUUCCUCUACCCCUUCGGCCCUGAACCUCUGUCCCGUAGUCACAUCUUCGAACCGGAGCGUUAGUCGGCCUUCUUUGCACAUGUUCAAAAUCACCGGAGCCGAUUUUCUCUCAUAUUUCCUACAAUUUCGGCUACUCCUACUUUACCUCGGAUAUCCUCAUUCCCAAUCUUAUCCUUUCUCGUGUGCCCACACAUCCCACGAAGCAUCCUCAUCUCCGCUACACCCAUUUUGUGUACGUGUUGAUGCUUCACCACCCAACAUUCUGUGCCAUACAACAUCGCUAGCCUUAUUGCCGUCCUAUAAAAUUUUCCCUUGAGCUUCAGUGGCCUACGACGGUCACACAACACGCCGGAUGCACUCUUUCCAUCCAGCUCGUAUUCUAUGGUUGAGAUCUCCAUCUAAUUCUCCGUUCUCUUGCAAGAUAGAUCCUAGGUAGCGAAAACGAUCGCUUUUUGUGAUCUUCGCUAGAUUGCUCCGGUCAUUAGUGUGGAUAAGUAUAUAAAUGGAUAGAGAUAGGAAAGCAAACACAAGAUGUACGUGGUUCACCCAGAUUGGCUACGUCCACGGAAUAGAAGAGUUCUCAUUAAUUGUGAAGGGUUUACACAAGUACAUAGGUUCAAGCUUUCAUUUAGUGAGUACAAGUGAAUGAUUUAGUACAAAUGACAUUAGGAAAUAUUGUGGGAGAAUGAUCUCGUAAUCACGAAACUUCUAAGUAUCGGAGUGUGGUGUCGUCUUGACUUGCCUUAUCUGUCUCAUAGGUAGAUGUGGCAUCUUCUCUGGAAGUACUCUUCCUCAAACGAUAAAUUAUUACGAAGCAUUGAAUAUAAGCAUGAAACGAAGAAAAUGUUAUGGAAUGGUGAUCCUCAUCCUCAAAGAUGAUUAAAAGCAAUUUGAUUCAAAAAUGACAUAUCAACUCUGGAGAAAUGGAAGACAAACCUGUGGUACCAUAUUCGCAACUGAGGUUAUGACAGCUGAAAUCGAUUGUUCCUGUGUGCAUUGAUAAGUGAGACUACCAUAGAGAUUCACAACUAAAUAAAGACAGGUAUUCCACAGAACAACCUUUACCUCUUUGGAAACACAGAUCUAACAAAAACUAUAACAUUUUGGAUUAAUAUUGACGAAUCAAGAAUAAUGCAAGGGAGCAAGAGAUACUCUUCCUUCUAAUAACAAGGAGGCGUGAAAAGUAUACAGAGUUCCAACAAUUAGAGAACUAAAAUCAAACUAAAAAAAUCACCAAAGUAGACAGAAUCUCACUUCGCCAAAAAUUUGAAAAUAUAUCCUUUUUAUCCAUUGAGAUUCAUGAACUACUACUACUACUACAUCAUGCCAAUAAGCAAUGCGUAAGAGGUGCUACAAUUUACCGAAUAUAUUUACCCUGAGAACAAGUUUUGAAAUCAUCUCUAGUGUUAACAGCACCUUGCGUCCUUGGGUAAGCUGAGUCCUAUUAUCAAGUAAAGAGACCAAUCAGUACAUAUCCAAAAGAUCUUAAAUGCUUGUAAUACCAAAUAAGAAAGAAACAUGAGUAUAUCUUGAAUUAACCAUGUAAAAAUGUAAUGUUAAAGCAUCUUGUCAUACAGACCUCUUCAAGGUACCAGAAAUUUUUGCACUAAAGAUGUCACAAGCAGCUGAUAUGAAGCUGCAUUUUCUGUGAGUUGAAAUUUUGUCAAUAUAAUCGAUCACCUGAAGAGAGAGAGAGAGAAAAAGACAGUGAUAUCCAGAGAUGUGAGCCUAAAUGCUGAGUGUGUAAAAAAAGAAGAUUAAAUGGAUAGCAAGAAUAUACAACUUUAAUGCUGAAAAGAACAUUGAAUAUGAUGCUCAUUCAUCAUUCCCAUUGAACGUGUACCUUCUUCUUUUCCUCUUUCUCAAAAGCAAGUAGAGCCUUGAAGACUUGCCUAUAUGAUCCAUCAUCACAACCAGGCAAAGUUGUUUUAAUCAUAGCAACAAUGGCUCUAACUACCUGCCAUAAGAAACAUGCUACAUCAACAAGAUCACAGAGUGUACCAGAAACCGUAAUGUAGCAAAAUCUUGGAUAAAAUAGCUGACCAAAAGGGAAUGGAAAAGCAAGCACGAAAAACAAUGAAAAGGACCAGUGAUGCCAAAAUUCUGGUGGAAAAGGUGAAAAGCUUCUGCCUAUUACAAUUUUUGUAUGCAUUCUUUAUAACUUAAGUUCUACUAGCAAAAACCACCUUAUGCAAAAUAAUAUUGGAAAAAUUAGAUACAUACAACUGAGAAGAUAGGUUUUCAUAAUCUGGACAAGUGCUAACUACCUUCUUCCUAUAAACUGCCACUCCAUGAACAUUAAAUGGUAUUUUCCUUUCACGCAAGGCUGUCUGGAAGACUUUUCCUGAUACCUGUAGCAUAAAAUACAAAAGAAAAUGUGACCAAAAUGUCUUAUAUGAUUCACCUCAUUCACAUUAGCACUAAGGCAAGUAAGCUUGACCUGCCUCCGGUAAAGGAUUGCUAUAUUUCCAUAGGAGCACCCUGCUUCUGACCGUUUCGAUGCAGUCUCCAGGAUCUUGUCGACAACAAAGGCGCAUUGUGCAUCCUCAUUGUGACUUUCCUUGAUAAUUACCUACAUUUUGCCAGUAAAACCAGUGUCACUAACUAAAAGGACUGAAAAAUGACAUCAAAUUGUACUUGUUGGAGCAAGGAAAGAUUAAGUACCUUAGACCCAGAAGAAUUGUCCGUGUCAACAUUCUUUAGUUGGCAUCGCUUCUUAUUGUUUUUUAUAACAGAAGAUGCAGCUUCCACAAUAUAGCGUGUGGACCUAAAGUUUUUAUUAAGCCUAAUCUGAACCAUAAAGUUAUGUCAAAUCCCACAGAAACCCAUAAAAUAAAACUUACUUUCCUGUAAUUGUACAAUAUAUUUGUUCUAUACUAUAUAUAAUGAAAAAAGACACUGUGAAUGACAUAAGAUAACAUAGCAGUCAAGUGCGAAGCGAACCUCUUUGUAAUUUGAAAAAUCUUUACGAAAAGAAUCAAAUCCAGAAAUGUCCGCCCCAUUGAAACUGAAAAUGGACUGCAGCAGGAUAUAUGUUAUUUGAUUUAGAACAGAUAAGGGCUGGAUUAGAAUGAGCUGAGAGAGAGAGAGAGAGAGGGAGAGAGGGAGAGAGGGAGCAAUAACAUUGGAUUUCCAUAAUAAAUCAACAACAUGCCUGAUCAUCAUCACCAACAAUGGUUAUGUGGUUAUGAGAGGCGAGAAUCCGCAAAAGACUAUAUUGCAUAGCACUUGUGUCUUGAAACUCGUCUAUUACAAUAGCUUUCCAUGACUCCUGGCACUCCUUCAACACUAAUUAAGAGAACACCAUGUAUCAACAUUUAGCAUUACUUGUAAAACUAGAUAAAUCAAUGAAAUAUACUUAGAUGAUAGAGACCUUCAGGAAAAUCACUUAGCAGCUUCACAGAGCAGCUAAUUAAGUCGUGGUAGUCCAAAGCGUUGCACGAUUUCAAGAUAUCAUUGUAAUUCCUAAGAAUUUCACCCUGAUUCAGAUUGAGAGCUAAAACUCAUAAGCAAUAGUUUCAAAGAACUGAAAUGAUAUCUGAAAUUCUAGUUCUGAGCGUACUCCUGUCACAUCACCCAUUCUUCGGCAUUCAGCGGGAGUCUUUCCAGAAGCUUUUGCCUGAAACAUAAAUAAAUUUACUGCCUAAUGCCACAUAUUGUAAGACACACCAUUGUAUUGGUCAUUCUAGCUUGAUUGUAGCUAAUAUUUUUUAAAUCGAAUGAUUAGAGUUCUUAAUCCACAAUAAUCUGAACAUUAAAUUUGGUAUUCAAGACUAACCUGUGUCACAAACUUCAGCCAUUUCUUUGAUGCAUCCUUAAAAUGAUGUGGAGAUGUUACGCCGUCAGACUCUUCCCCAUCUAUAGCAACAUUAAGAUUCGUUUUACUCUUUUCAUCUUCUGAUAACCGCACAGCUUCAAUGAUUGCUCUUCUCUGUUGCCCAUGUCCAUAUAUCAAAAAUUCUGGUCUGCGCUUGAGUCUAAAACACAAGCCAACAUAACAGACUCAGCUAUACCACCAAAUGUAUGGUGUUCAAAAUCAAGGGAGGUGAAUCAAUAGCUUACUUCUCAGCAUGUGAUCGGCAAAGUUGCAAUGAAAAUGAAUGAAAUGUACUGAUUGUUAGUAGUUUUGCCGUUGCUUUCCCAGUCACAGAUCCAAUUCGAUCUCUCAUCUCGGAAGCUGCUGCUGUAGUGAAAGUCAUUGCUAGAAUGUUCGACGUGCUAAUGCCCUAAGAACACAAAAAAAAAAAAAAAACGAAUAAGAUUUCGAUCAUAAACAAGAAAUGUAGAGAAACACACAAUUACGAAAGAAAAAGUUAGAGGGAAAGUAGCAACACCUCAUUGAGCAGCAUUAGAACGCGCCCAACUAUCGUUGAAGUCUUUCCACUUCCAGGGCCGGCAACAAUCAUCAAAGGUACUGAAAUAUAGCUGCAAGCUGCCUCACGCUGCCUUUCGUUGAGAGAAAGCAAAUACUUCAAAUACUCAUCCGGCAUGUUAGGCAAUCCAUGGUUAACAGAAUCUGUUUGGUUUUCACUACUCAAAGGCGGCGCUGAUGGCACUAACGUGUUAUGACCCAAAUUAUUACUGAGGUUUUAUGCUUUAUUACUGUGAGGAAUUGUUAAUAUACCAGCUGGCAUUUAAAAGUGUAGAGGUUUUAUAAAAGGAGCCCCAGCUCCCCCAAAUGUAUCAGAUCAGAAUUUUACAAAAGAAAUCAAUAUUGGAGCUCUGCUCCUUCUUCUCUCCUUCCCUCUUCUUCCAUAGCUUUCUUGUGCCACUUACAGGUUGAUUAAGGGAAUUGAGAAUUAGAUCUUAUCAAUGGUAUCAUCCUUCUCGAAUCCUGGUUUCCCUCCUGUGCACACCCACCCACCUACGUUUUCUGCCAUGGUUGCUGCGCCCAAGGAUUCGCUUCGCGAGACCCUGGAUGCUCUAUUCGCACCCUACCUGGCUAAGAUCCGCCGUGCCCGUGAGUUGGCUCUCAGCGCUGAGGGAGACUCCACUCCAACCCUUAUGUUCGCUAUCAGUGAUGGGGGAGUUCCUGAUCCAGCCCCGAUGAUUGCCGAUGACGCUGCAGGAAUCGAUCUCGGUCAGAAAAUAAUUCCACGAGUCGCUGCAUCAACUAAUCAGAUUCUGCCGUUGCUCUCGUCAUCGCCGUUAUUGCGAGCACUAGCAAAUCCUCCUGUCAGGCCACCGUCGAACUCAAACGCUUCAUUGGCAAAUUCGCCCAGCCAGCCGCUACACUCAAAUGAUAUUGUAGCAGCCACAAUUCCAUUGCGGAAUGUUGAGAAAACCAGGCCCGUUGCGAUUGUGACCACAAUGCCGCUAUUUCCGAUUUCAGCAACCUUUAGCACUGAAUCAGCCCACGCUCACAAUCACAACCUCGUUUUGAGCACCAAGGAAGCUACAACAAUGGCGCAUGUUCUGGGUUUUCCUCUCAAGAAAGCAGGAGCUACUAAAUCUGUAGGUAUAUCUCAUACAAACACCACGAAGCGUCGACACGAGGUAUUGACAUCCUUGCUUUCCAAUUCUACAAAUCGGAAGGACAAAUGGUAUUGGGUUUUGCAGGUUAUUUUGGCAUAUUAUACUGGUGUUAUUGUGAUAAUGUAUGACGACUUCUUAACUGAUAAAUGUGGAUGGGGUAAUUGGUACCUUGUGGGACAAUUUGUGUUACACGCGCCCCUAAUUUAAAUCGUAUUUUUACUAAAUUUGAGUUUAUCUUGCUUUUAAAAUUAUUUUUGGGUUUUAAAUGGUGUGCCCAAGGCCCACCCCCUGUUUUGUCCCCCGUUCCCUUUCCCUUUCUUUUAUUUAUUUUCUUCUUUCUUCUUCUUCUUCUUCUUCUUUUCUGUUUCUUUUUCUUUCUUUUCCGUCUGUCCCUCUCGGCUCUCUCUGCGCCCUCUCUUCUCUGCACCGCAACAAGCACACGCACGCACCCAUUGCACCUGCGCGAGGAAGACCAUCAUCAUCUCGUCCUGCUCUCUCUCCCUCUCGUGUUUGCGAACCCAGAAAAUCGGAAAGGAUCUUCCGCGAGAUUUUUAUAUUUUCCGGUUAGGUAAGCCUCAAAUCCCUCUCUUUCGUCCUAGAAUCUUUUGAGAAUGGGUUCUAAUUGGUUUUAUUUCGUGAUUUUUGGAGGUUUUAGGAUGAAAACAAACUCGGGUGCAGGAACACCCAUUUCCGGCGAGGAACCCGCCACUUUCGAGUUAAUCUCCGGCCAAACCACGGCGAGUUGGCCGGCGUGCAAGGUAUCAAUCUCUUCGUCUCGUCGAUUACUACAACUUUCCUUUUUGUUUCACCCAAUUUCGUUGAGUAUUGAAGAAGUUAUACUCAUUUGAAUCUUACCCAGUUUCCGGCGAGUCCGACGGCUUUCGAGGCGUUUUCCGGUCAAACCACGGCGAAUUAGACGUCGUGUGAGGUACCAUUCUCUUCGUCUCUUCGAGGGCUACAACUUUCGUUUUUGUCUCGCUUGAUUUCGUUGAGUUUUAACAAAGUUAUAGCCAUUUAAAAUUGGGUGGUUUUCCGGCCGAAAUUCCAGCCUUCUUCUUCCUCGGGUCCGGCGACCCAUCAAACUUGGGCCCUUUGGGCCGUUUCUGUUAAGGGCUUUAAGCCCAAACCCUAAACCUUUGGGCUUUAGGACCAAACCCAAGAACCCAAACCCUAUGACCCAAACCCGGAUCCAAGCCCAGACCCGUUUGACCUGGUCCGACCCGGAUCCUGACCCGUUGACUUUGACCGGUCAACGUUGACUUUUCUAGUUGACUUUUCGGGUUUUCGUCCAAGACCUUCCUAGGCUAAUUUCGACGUCCUGGAUCCGUUUUUGAAGUUCGUUUUCCCAAAUUCAAUCGUUUGAGUAGAGUUUGACUAAAUGGAUCAUUUAUGUGCUUAGGUGAAUUUAAUGACGGCGGUUCCGUUAUUCCUAUUUGGUAUGGCGUUGCACCAACGGUGUACGGUGAGUGGACCCCUUCUAAAAUGCAUGUUUUAUAGUAGAAAUGCAUACAUAAAAAGUAUGAUUUGAUGAUUACCUUUUAUGAAACGUUUUGUGAGAUAACAUGCUUAUUGAGGCUACUUUAAAUUAUUACUAUUUUUCCUAUAACCCGUGUUCUUAUAGAAUAUCUGAUGGAUGACGAUAUGAUAUUAGAACAUGUUUAGAACACCUCUUUAUAGUAUAGAUGAUGGAUGACUUUAUACUAUGAAGUUGUUUUUCAAUAUAUAUGUUCAAUGGUUUUGUACUUACCUAGUGGUCAUUUCCGCUACGGGACGUAGGGAUAGAUUCCGGUCAUUCCCGGGCGACGGUUUGGUGUUGGCAUAGGGCCUGGAGUGUGUUUCCUCUGGCUAUUUAGCACAGGGACGGGGAGCCGGCAUGGGGCCUGAAGUGUAUUUUCCUCUGACUGUCUGCUCAGAGACGGGGAGCCGGCAUGGGGCCUGGGGGUUAUCGGACAAUUCACUAGUGAUUAUUAUAUAUAUAAAAGUUAUGAUUUGAGACACUGCACAUCAUGCUAGGUUUCGGAAAACCUAUGUUUAUCAUUAUAUAUGUGUUUUCAUAAAACUUGGGGGUUAGUACGUUGAUAACUGUUUUGUUAUAUUUAUAUCAAAUUGGUCCACUCAUGUUUGUUUUGCGCCCCCUUCAGGAUUUAGGAUCGAGGCGUACAAUCCCGGCAAUCCAGGCACUUCCGCAUCGGUAUCUUCAAGUCCUCUCGGUGUAGAACCCACUUCUGUGUUCAUUCAAUUUUUAUAUUAAUUCUUUUAAUGUUCUAGAUUAGAUGUGUGCUCUGAACACGUUCCUUAAAUGCAUAUUCUUUAUUUAUAUUUAUAAGUUUUAUCUAUCCUUUAUUUUCAGCAAUUGCACUCAAUAAAUGGCUUUCGUCGCCCUCGGGUGUCGGCCAGCACGUGACCAUCCUGAUAUCCUGAGGAUAUCGGGAUCGGGGCGUGUCAGAUUGGUAUCAGAGCGUGGUUUGUUCAGAGCAUACUUAGGAUCCUCUUCUAUUAUCGUAGAGUGUUGGUUUUGACAUCAUUUGGAUGUCCAGACUUCUAGAUUUGGUGCCAUUCGGCGCAGUCGUGCGAAUCUUCCUCUAUUUGAAUUGUCACAUUCGGGUUGAUAUACAAGAAUUUGUGUCGGGAUUGUGCCUCAUCGGUGACGUGUUUGAAUUGUUGGACGACUUUCAGCUUCAGAUUGAUACUCUACGACGUGCAUUCCCUGGGAAUGACGGGCAUAGUCGGUGUUACUUGGAAGCGACGGAUUUUAGAAAUCUCAGCUUAAGGAAGUCUGGUCAAGACCAGCUGUAAAUUCGAAAUGGCGAUGCCACUCUACAACAUGCGUUCCCUAGGAAUUGCGGGCGGAGUCGGCUUUGCAUCGAAAUCUUGGGAAGCGGAAAAAAAAUCUUGGCAGUACGAAUUGACUAAGACCAACUGGAGUUCUGAAGCGGUGUUGUACUCUGCAACAUGCGUUCCUUAGGAAUGGCGGGCAGAGUCGUAUCUCUUUAGAAAUUACUCGAAACUUUCGAAAUGCAGAUUGAAGAAGCGAGUAAGUGCUAGUGGUGACGACGGUUAGUAGGUGGUAGUUGGUGGGAGCAAAAUCAAUGUUCUCGAACUCAUUACCACUGAAGAAAUUUGGGUGAAUCUUUAUAACAGUUCUCUGUGAUUGUUUUAUCGAUUACCUUCUCGUUUAUUCCAACGACGAAGUCAAGUUCACUGACCUUUGAUCGUCAGCUUCACAUCAAAUCCCUCGAGAGUUGACUUCGUCUAGAGAUUAUACUUUUCUUGGGAAACUCCUCGGUAGCAGACGUUAUUCUCAUCAAUUUCGAAAUGGAGUUGCGAUUCUUGUUGUUGUUGUAGUUGAACUUGGAUAAUGAAGAUUCAGCCUUGUUUGGAUAAACAAAUUCCUUGAACUUCACCUGGGUUUGGUACUUGGUAGUAAACCCUAGUUCCUCAUCCGUGUACUUUUCAGUGAAGGUGAACUUAGUCCCUUGCUUGCAACCUAACUGUUCAGCCUUGUAAUUUUCAGCGUAAUGGCUUGAGACUCUAUCAUAUUCAUCAUUGUACGAAGAUCGAGCUUUACUCUGAACUUCUCUGGGCUCGUUAAGCUUUGAUUUGCUCAGAGGCAUCACUUUAAGGUAGCCAAUCGUGUCACUGCAUGCAUACACAAGCUGCUUUGUAUCUUUCUUCUUCGUUAUUCUGCUGAUUCAGAGGUUUUAUGUUUAAUUUCUGAAUUUUUAAAUGACUAUCGCGAAGUACCGUGAAUCUCGAAAUGUCUUUGGCCUCGUCAAAUCUUAUUAAUAGUUCUUGACUAUUCUUGAGAUUAGACUUGUUCCUUUUGGCUAAGAAACCAGUCGACCUUAUUGUGAUGAGUAGCCAAAUAAUCAUAAACAGUAACUUCUAUUUCUGCAUCUUCAUUUUCCUUCGUUUGUUUGUUUGUUUCUCAAUGUGAACUGGAUCAUGCCGGGACAUUACACGAAGGGUGUAAAAAAAAAAAAAAAAAAAAACGUUUGUUCUCGGCGUGGUUUCUAGUUCAAAUCCGGAUAUCUUGUACUCUAUAUUUAAUGGACUUGUUUUGAACCUUAAAUUCCUGAGUGUUCUUUUAGCCUUAUCGACAUGGUUUCUCUCUCAAUUAGUGAGAAAUUCAUGAUCGAUGGUUUCGGCGGAAGUGUGCGCCCAAUUCUUAUCGAUUUGGACAGGAAUGUUGGGAGCAUAAUCUUUUCACAAGCUUACUAGACUUACCAGAAAGAGUUCCACGUGGGUGUGAAGUUUGAGUUGUCUUUUGGUAAGAGACUGGUGAAGAUUGUGGUGCAGAUGAUUAGCAGAUUGUAUCACUAUCUUCACGCUGAAUUGAAUGGUCACCAUUCAUUAUCCUGCUGCAAUUCAUAAUCAUCAUAUCUUACUCUGGUAGACAUUUUUGAUGAUGUGUUCGCCUCAACGCAGCUUUCCACUACCUCUCACCAGGAUCCUUCGGUUCGAGAGCACGUGGGCGUGAGGUUGAGCGGUCUUUUAGUAAGAGUUGGUUGAAGGUUUUAGUUCAGAAGGUCAGCAUAUUGUAUCACCAUCUUACUAGAAUUCAUAGGCAUCACAUCGGUUAUUUUCCAACGAUAUGUGUUCGUGUCAAUGCAUACUUCGACUGCUUCACUUCUGAACCUUAUUCUUGUGAGUAUGUGGAUGUUGAAUCACUUAUAGCAGAUUUGUUUGGUGCACUCUGGAAUGGCACCACAACGUAGUUGAGAUAAGAAUCGGAAGAUCUUUGCACUUUUUGCGAAUGGUGUGUGCUCUCAUGGGGUGUUUAGGUUGAUUGCAUGAGAGUCAUUCUUUCCUCCAACAUUGAUCUUGUUUGACUAGAAAUCUGCAACUAAGCAAAAAUGGAGAGGUGGAUUGAGCACUACAACAGUUCCCAAGAGAUACUGCGUGUUGAGGAAGAUGACUUCUCGUUUUCUGCUUACCUAGUUCGAGCUUUUGGGUCUACUACUAACAUGGUGGCCACUUCUCUUGAAUCCCAAAGUACAGUUUCAAAUGGGUUCUUUGUUGGCAUAACUCUGGAGUAGUUGGUCACAUUUGGAAUAACUGAGGAAGAGGUUGUGCUUGGUACUAAAGGGAGUUAGUAUGACGAUAGUUAUUGGUUUUGUUCGAUUUGGGUAUGGCACUAUUUGCGACAUGGUACGAGAGUUGCUACACGCAACAUUGGUUGAUAGAGGAGACGUGCAAGCUUGUACUUGGAGGAUCGAAUUUUCGACGUGUGAAAUUGUGCACCCUCAGGAAAUUACUGCUUGUUUACUGAGACAACAAAUGUGUGGUCGAUAUCGCGGGCGGCCGACUGUGGUAUCGAUAAUUUAUUUGUUGGGUUCGUUAAGCAAGUGGGGCAGGAAUAUCCUUUUACGGCAGCCGUUAAAGAUUCACUAUUGUUAGAACUGGACCCAAAGACACAUCUAUUUUCGGAGUACGCGACGUUUCGAAUUCUUGGGCAAGACCCACUCUCAUUCUUCAGUUUUGGUUUUCAGUAUAAGUAUUUUAACCUCAUUUACUCUAGUUAAUUGUUUUGCCAUUACAAAUGUUUUUGGAAAAGUAUUUCCGUUUUCAGUUUUUAAGUGUAGCUCGAAUUUUCAACCUAUAUGUUGGUACAUAUCCAUUUUGACGUUAUCGUAUGUUAUGUUCUUACUUUUGACCUUAAUCUAUUUUAUGUUUUCGACUUUAUAUCUUUAUAAAGUAUGUUUUCUACUUUUACACUGAUGGGGAAGAAAGUAAGCUUGGAGGCAUGAUAGAGGAUUUUGCAACCCGCUCGCGACGGUGUGGUAUAUUCUCUUUGAUGCACCCACUCUGACUUGAUUUCUCUUUAUACAUAUAUUCUUCUUACUAUUUUCGUGUAUUUCAGUUUAGUAGGUGAUUUUAAAUUUCGGGGACGAAAUUCUUUUUAAGGGGGGUAGAUUGUUACACCCGCCCCUAAUUUAAAUCGUAUUUUCACUAAGUUUGAGUUUAUCUUGCUUUUAAAAUUGUUUUUGGGUCUUAAAUGGUGUGCCCAAGGGGCCCCACCCCCUGUUUUGUCCCCCGUUCCCUUUCCCUUUCUUUUAUUUAUUUUCUUCUUUCUUCUUCUUCUUCUUCUUCUUUUCUGUUUCUUUUUCUUUCUUUUCCGUCUGUCCCUCUCGGCUCUCUCUGCGCCCUCUCUUCUUUGCACCGCAACAAGCACACGCACGCACCCAUUGCACCUGCGCGAGGAAGACCAUCAUCAUCUCGUCCUGCUCUCUCUCCCUCUCGUGUUUGCGAACCCAGAAAAUCGGAAAGGAUCUCCCGCGAGAUUUUUAUAUUUUCCGGUUAGGUAAGCCUUAAAUCCCUCUCUUUCGUCCUAGAAUCUUUGAGAAUGGGUUCUAAUUGGUUUUAUUUCGUGAUUUUUGGAGGUUUUAGGAUGAAAACAAACUCGGGUGCAUGAACACCCAUUUCCGGCGAGGAACCCGCCACUUUCGAGUUAAUCUCCGGCCAAACCACGGCGAGUUGGCCGGCGUGCAAGGUAUCAAUCUCUUCGUCUCGUCGAUUACUACAACUUUCCUUUUUGUUUCACCCAAUUUCGUUGAGUAUUGAAGAAGUUAUACUCAUUUGAAUCUUACCCAGUUUCCGGCGAGUCCGACGGCUUUCGAGGCUUUUUCCGGUCAAACCACGGCGAAUUAGACGUCGUGUGAGGUACCAUUCUCUUCGUCUCUUCGAGGGCUACAACUUUCGUUUUUGUCUCGCUUGAUUUCGUUGAGUUUUGACAAAGUUAUAGCCAUUUAAAAUUGGGUGGUUUUCCGGCCGAAAUUCCGGCCUUCUUCUUCCUCGGGUCCGGCAACCCAUCAAACUUGGGCCCUUUGGGCCGUUUCUGUUAAGGGCUUUAAGCCCAAACCCUAAACCUUUGGGCUUUAGGACCAAACCCAAGAACCCAAACCCUAUGACCCAAACCCGGAUCCAAGCCCAGACCUGUUUGACCUGGUUCGACCCGGAUCCUGACCCGUUGACUUUGACCGGUCAACGUUGACUUUUCUAGUUGACUUUUCGGGUUUUCGUCCAAGACCUUCCUAGGCUAAUUUCGACGUCCUGGAUCCGUUUUUGAAGUUCGUUUUCCCAAAUUCAAUCGUUUGAGUAGAGUUUGACUAAAUGGAUCAUUUAUGUGCUUAGGUGAAUUUAAUGACGGCGGUUCCGUUAUUCCUAUUUGGUAUGGCGUUGCACCAACGGUGUACGGUGAGUGGACCCCUUCUAAAAUGCAUGUUUUAUAGUAGAAAUGCAUACAUAAAAAGUAUGAUUUGAUGAUUACCUUUUAUGAAACGUUUUGUGAGAUAACAUGCUUAUUGAGGCUACUUUAAAUUAUUACUAUUUUUCCUAUAACCCGUGUUCUUAUAGAAUAUCUGAUGGAUGACGAUAUGAUAUUAGAACAUGUUUAGAAUGUCACAGCCCGUCCCGGGAUUUCUAUAUCGGGGGCGUGAAUUGACGUAACUACCCUUGACGGACAUUCGGGUACGUGUGUGUGCGACAUUAUUGAAUUAAUUUUGUAAGUUUUGGGAUUUUAAUUUUGGAAUUUGGAAAUUUUUGUGGUUAGGGAAUUGGAUGGAUGGUGAGGAUUGUGUUGGACCACACAAUCACACACACACGCACUCCCUGUCUUCUCUCCCUCCCGUAGCUCUCUCUGUCCCUCUCCCUCACGAUCUCUCUCUUUCCCCUCACCCUAUACGUACGGCCUUCACCCAAAACCCUUCAAAACUCGACGGAUCGAGGCAAAUAAGGUAUGCAUCUUCAUCCUUUCGUCGUCCUGAGUUCAUUGGUGCUAGUUUUAGGAAGUGAAACCUUCGAUUUCACAUAGAUCCCGAACCUCCAUUUUUGAGGUACUGUUCAUGCGAACGUAAAAUGUUGUGUUUCAGGAGAUUUCAAGCUUGUGGUGAGCUUUAGGAGGUUCCUAAGGAAGCUCGGGGACGUUCGUUGGAGAGUUUUGGACGUCGGGAUCGUAGGUUUCAAGUUUGGCCGAAUCUUUGGUUUUUCCAAGGUGAGAUUUCGUAGUUUUUAGGCCCUAAAACAAGUCCAACGUGAUUGUACACUCUUAGGGCUUCAAUUUGGUAUAAAAUACGAAGAAAAUGGGUGAAAAACGAAGGAGAAUAGUGAGUUUGAAAAUCGGCCGGAGUUCGGCCGGAGUCCGGCCACCAGAGAACCAGUCCGGCGAGACCUGCGAAGAAGACGACACGUGCGCUGCACGUGCUGCGCGUGGCCAGCGCGUGGACCCGUGCCACGUGUGGCGCGUGGGGGCGCGUGGGGCUUCCAAAAAUUUUUCUAAAAAUUUCUCGACGCUCGUGACGUCGAGUAGGUCGAUGUGGUAUAUUAUUAUACCAAAAUUGAGCAUCGUAUGAGAAGUUAUUUCAAAUUAUUGGUGAUGUGCUUAAAAUUAAUGUUUUUAUAGUUGUUUCGCAUAUAGGUGAGACGUAUCCCGAGGACGACCGCAUCCAGGGACGCCACGGGGGUUACGACGACCCGUCGACUUAUCAGUGAGUGGGCAGUUUUGUUUUCGUAUUACCUAUAUACUACUGUUUUUCCCAGAAAAAUGUUUAUAUGAAAAUAUGUUUUGAAUAUGCCAUGCAUAGAAUUAUUUGAAAAUCAUGAAUUGGUUUAUGAACUAUAUGAUUGAAAUAUGAUGCAUACAUGUUGCAUGGUGCUGUGGAGGCACAGGUAAGUCAGGUGAGUUCAUUUAUUCAUUGAAUUGUUGUUGUUGAGAUGAGUUGAGCUCAUAAUCUGCACCCUAGGUGUUAGUGCUUAUAUUAUUCACCACACCGCACGCUCGUCUUGGAUCCAAGUAGGUGGAUGUCGUACAGACCAUGUGAGGGUUCCGACAUGCUAGUCGUACAGAUCACUAGGCGUGAUUCCGACUAGUGGGUGACCUUAGUUAUGCGCGCUGAUGAUAUGAUGAGAGAAGCACUAGAGCGUAUUUUUACACCUUUCAUCGUAUAGACUACCUUACGUAGUUCCGAGUGAUGUGCAGAGUAGGGCCGUAUAGGUCACUGUGGUGACUCCGGCUUAGUGGGAUUUUUGAGCUAUUGAAUUAAUCGUAUAGGACCAACUGCAGGGUCUCCGAUUGAUUCCUUAUUUCACCUGAUUUAUAUUUUUUAUUUAUGUCAUGGCAUGUUUUCUUGAAAAUGUUAAAGAUUUGAGAUUUAAAUGUUGAGAUUUUAUAUGGUUAUAUAUAUUUCUGGGAAAGUAUACAGGUUUUUACGGCGAGGGGAUAUAACUGUUUUAAUGAAAUGUUUUGGAAAACUAAUUUGUUUUACUGACCCACUCAUUUUGUUUUGCGCCCCUCCAGGUUCUAGUUUAGCGGUGGUUGGCUCACGAGGUCCUUUCCGGCUUUCUGACAGAUUUGGGACAUGUAGGACUCACCUGAGGGUGAUGUAUUCUUAUUUUAGUCCUACUUGACUGCAGUUAACCUAUGCUCUGAACUUAUGUGUUUACUUGUAAACUCGUCCGGUUAUGUCCGUAUGUGGUUAUGUUGAGUUUGGGUUGAAUUUCUGUUGUUAUUACGCUUCCGUGUCGUGCUUAUGGUUACGUCACGCCCACGUGACGGCCAGCACACCUGGAUCCUCCGGAUCAGGGUGUGUCAGUUUGGUAUCAGAGCUUAGGUUGCAGUCCUGUAAAAUUGUUAAUGUCUUAACGAUCUUUUUGAUGUUUUCUGUCAGAAUCAUGCCGCCUCGUAGAGAGCGUAGGGAGUCCCGCCGUACUCCUGAACCUAAUUUCCCAGAUAUUACUCAGUUAGGGGAAGCGAUGGCCCAGGCUUUACAGAAUGUGAUUCGUCCUCCCCCUCCUCCGAGGACACCUCUGGAGACCAUGUACAACUUGAAGUUAGAUCGGUUUAUGGGUAAUGAAAGUCAUGAGGGGGCAGAGAAAUGGCUUGAUCAUAUUGAGAAAACCUUUCAGGUGAUGCAGAGUCAGGGGAAUCUCCCUGCUAAUAGGUGGGUGGAGACCACCACUUGGUUUCUGGGUUGUGAACCAGCAGCAUGGUGGAUAAAUCAGGCUAGGUACAUGUCACCUGAGACGGCAGCCGACUGGAAAGUAUUCAAGGAGCAUUUUAUGAAGAGAUUUCGUUCCUCCUGAGUAUAUUGACCGUAAGAAGCAGGAAUUCACCAGGUUGAAACAGAGAAAUAUGUCGGCACAUGAAUAUUAUAGAAAGUUUACUGAUUUGUCUCGUUAUGACACUGAUAUAGCUGGUAAUCAGGGAGAGAUGCUUCGACGUUUCAAGUUGGGAUCUAAGAAGAAGUGGCGUACCUUUGCCAAUGCACUUCCCUGCGCUGAUUAUCAUGAGUAUUUCGAGAUUUUGGUUAGGAUGGAGGACUCUGAUAAUCUUCCUGACAGUGAGGAUGACGAGGACAAGAAUGAGGGUCAGAAGAAGAAUGAUAAGGGUAAGGGUAUUUCUAUUCCUGGACCUCGACAGACACAGAGUUUUUAAGAAGAGUGGAGCGAGUUCGAGUUCUUCUAGUGGGGGAUAUAGUUUUACUGGCCCGAGGAGAGGUGGUGGAAGAUUUUCUGGUGGACCCAGAUUUCAGGGUCAGAGGGAUGCUGGUGGAUCUGGCGCUCCAUGGUGCCGCCGUUGUAACUCCCGUCACCAUGGUGAGUGUAGGAGAGGUUCUGGUGCCUUGUUUUUACGUGUGGGACAGAUGGGACAUCGGGCUUCUCAGUGCCCCCAGGGUCAGCAGAGACCGCAGCAGACUAAUAUGCCACCUCCAGCACCAGUUCAGCAGAGUUUUGGGACCGGGUGGUUAUGGCCAGCCGAGUCGUGGUGGUGCCUACCACUAUCAGGGGGAUGCUGCUCCGUAUGCUUCCGGACCUUAUCAGUAUUCUCAGGAGCCUUAUCCUCAGGCAGGGUAUUCUCAGGAUUUUGGAGGUUAUUCUUCUUAUUCCUCUAUGCCAGCUGGUGGAUCGCAGUGGCAUCAGGGAGGCCAGCCCCGUCAGGGGGAAGUUGCUACUGGUGGUGCAGGAUCAUCCAGGCAGCCUAGUCAGCCAGGCCAGGGACGAGGUAAUCAGGGCAAUAGAGGCCGAGGUGGACGUCAGCAAGCUCAGGGGCGAGUUAAUCAUAUUGUCCCUGCAGGAGGCUCAGAACCAUCCAGACUUGAUAAUGGGUACGUUAAAUGUUCUUGGUCAUUUUGCUAAGGUUUUGAUUGAUUGUGGCGCUACGCACUCUGUGAUUUCUCAUACGUUUGCUCAAAUAACCCAACCUCACCCUUCACCUCUAGGAUUUGAUUUAGAGUUUGCCAUGCCUAGAGGAGAUAAAUGUAUUGUGGAUAGUGUGUAUCUGGGGUGUCCAGUGAUGGUUGAGGGCGUGAUUAUGUCCGCUGAUCUUAUUCCGUUAGAUAUUGUGGAUUUUGAUGUGAUUUUAGGGGCCGAUUGGUUACACCAUAAUCGUGCCCAUAUUGAUUGUUAUGGUAAAUCAGUUACUUUUUAUCGUCCUGGAUUACCCGAGGUUAUUUUUGUGGGCGAGAGAAGUGGGGUGAGACAUGGAGUUAUUUCUGCCAUAAGGGCGAGGAAAUUAUUAUCGAAGGGUUGUCAGGGAUAUUUGGCACAUGUGGUAUUAAAUGAUGUUGCUCCUACUAGUAUAGAAGAAGUUGGUGUGGUCAGACAUUAUCCGGAUGUUUUCCCUGAUGAUUUGCCGGGAUUGCCGCCAGACAGAGAGGUGGAAUUCUCUAUUGAUUUGCUUCCAGGUACGGACCCUAUAUCUCUGACUCCUUAUAGAAUGGCUCCUGCUGAGUUAAGGGAAUUAAAAAUCCAGUUGCAAGAAUUACUUGAUAAAGGUUUUAUUCAACCUAGUUCUUCACCUUGGGGUGCCCCAGUAUUAUUUGUGAAGAAGAAGGAUGGAACUCUUUCGAUUGUGUAUUGAUUAUAGACAAUUGAACCGGGUAACGAUUAAAAACCGUUAUCCAUUGCCCCGCAUUGAUGAUUUGUUUGAUCAGCUGAAAGGUGCGUGUGUAUUUUCUAAGAUUGAUUUGAGAUCCGGGUAUUAUCAAUUGAAGAUUAAAGAAGACGAUGUACCUAAGACGGCUUUCCGAACUCGGUACGGACAUUAUGAAUUUUCGGUUAUGCCGUUUGGGUUGACUAAUGCACCUGCAGCUUUUAUGAGAUUAAUGAAUGAGGUAUUCCAGAAAUAUCUUGAUAAAUUUGUUAUUGUUUUUAUUGAUGAUAUUCUGGUAUACUCUAAGUCCCAAGCAGAUCAUAUCCGACACCUUAAUUUGGUGUUAAGGAAAUUAAGGGAGCAUCAGUUGUAUGCCAAGUUCAGUAAAUGUCAGUUUUGGUUGACUGAAGUGGCAUUUUUGGGGCAUGUUGUAUCAGCUCAAGGUAUUCAAGUUGAUCCUCAAAAGAUUGCAGCAGUGGAGAAUUGGGAGCAACCUCGAACCGUCACGGAGGUACGAAGUUUUCUUGGCUUAGCAGGUUAUUAUCGACGGUUCGUUCAGGAUUUCUCUAUGAUUGCUUUACCGUUGACAAAGUUGACCAGGAAGGAUGUUAAAUUUGAGUGGGAUGAGAAUUGUGAGCGGAGUUUUCAACAAUUGAAGUAUUGCCUCACUCAUGCACCGGUGUUGGUACUUCCCGACGAUAGCGGUAAUUUUGAGAUAUAUAGUGAUGCUUCAUUAAAUGGUUUGGGAUGUGUUUUGAUGCAGCAUAAUAAGGUGAUUGCCUAUGCUUCUAGGCAGUUGAAAAAAUCAUGAAAGGAACUAUCCUACUCACGAUCUUGAAUUGGCAGCAAUUGUUUUUGCUUUGAAAAUUUGGAGGACAUUACUUUGUAUGGUGAGAAGUGUAAGAUCUUCACUGAUCACAAGAGUCUUCAGUAUUUGUUUACUCAGCAUGAUCUUAAUCUUCGUCAGCGAAGGUGGAUGGAAUUGUUAAGUGAUUAUGAUUGUUCUAUUGAAUACCAUCCAGGUCGUGCUAAUGUAGUAGCGGAUGCACUGAGUAGGAAACCUCAAGGUAGACUUAAUGCCCUUAUAUGCUAGUCGUGUUCCUCUUCUUGCUGAAUCUGAGGACAACUGGGGUAAGGUUGGAAAUUGAAAGACCGAGGAUGGAGCUUUUCUUGCUAGUUUUCAAGUCAGGCCAGUUUUGGUGGAGCGUAUACUUGCAGCUCAGAUGGUGAAUGAGGAAAGUUCAAGGAGUUGGUUCAGUUAAGAAGUGAAGGGAAAAAGAAAGACCUCAGAAUUCGGGAAUCAGACGGUAUGCUCAUGCAAGAAGACAGAAUGUAUGUUCCGAAUAAUGAGGAAUUGAAGAAGGAAAUUCUGGACGAAGCACAUUGUUCAGCUUAUGCGAUGCAUCCGGGAGGAACAAAAAUGUAUAUCAUACCAUUCGACCAUUUUAUUAUUGGCCGGGUAUGAAAAGAGAAAUUGCAGAAUAUGUGAGCAGGUGUAUUAUUUGCCAGCAAGUGAAAGCAGAAAGAAAGAAGCCAUUUGGGCGAAUGCAACCCCUUCCUGUUCCCCAGUGGAAAUGGGAAAAUAUAACCAAUGGAUUUCGUGUAUAAACUUCCUCGUACGCGAAAUGGAUUUGAUGGUAUUUGGGUGAUUGUGGAUCGACUCACCAAGUCGGCGCAUUUCAUUCCUGUGAGGGAGAAAUACCCUCUGAAUAAAUUGGCUAAGUUGUUUAUUUCGAAGAUUGUCAAGUAUCAUGGAGUCCCAGUAAAUAUUAUCUCCGAUCGAGACCCGAGGUUUACUUCUAAAUUUUGGGUGGCUUUUCAGGAAGCUCUGGGUACUCAAUUACUGUAUAGCACAGCUUAUCAUCCUCAAACUGAUGGGCAAUCAGAGAGGACCAUUCAGACGUUGGAAGGAUAUGUUGAGAUCUUCAGUACUGCAAUUUGGUGAUUCUUGGCAUGAUCGUCUGGACUUAAUGGAGUUUGCUUAUAAUAACAGUUUUUCACUCGAGCAUUGGUAUGUCCCCAUUCGAGGCACUUUAUGGUAGGGCGUGUCGAACGCCAUUAUGUUGGUCUGAGGUUGGUGAACGGGUAUUAGAAGGCCCUGAGAUCGUGGAUGAGACGACUCAAAAUGUUCAGAUAAUUAAGUCAAACCUGAAAGCAGCCCAGGAUCGACAGAAGAGUUUAGCGGAUCGGCAUACUACUGAUCGAGUGUAUGAUGUGGGUGAUUGGGUAUUUUUGAAAUUGUCGCCUUGGAGAGGUGUAGUACGAUUUGGGAAAAGAGGAAAGUUAAGCCCGAGAUAUAUUGGACCUUAUGUGAUCACUGAAAGAGUUGGUGAAGUUGCCUAUCGGUUGGAACUGCCUCCGGAGUUAUCUAAGGUCCAUAAUGUGUUCCACGUCUCUAUGCUUCGGCAUUAUAUUUCUGAUCCUUCUCAUGUGAUCCCUCCUCAACCGUUAGAGAUUAAUCCGGAAUUUGACGUAUGAUGAGGAACCGGUCACUAUCUUGGAUUGGAAAGAUAAGGUUCUAAGGAACAAGACGGUGAGUUUGGUAAAGGUGUUGUGGAUGAACCAUUCUGCAGAGGAAGCCACCUGGGAGACGGAAGAUCGGAUGAGAGAGAUGUACCCAAGGUUAUUUUAUGGGUACUAAGUGGUUAAUUUGGAUUGUGGGAAUUUCGGGGACGAAAUUCUAUAAGGAGGGGAGAUUGUCACAGCCCGUCCCCGGGAUUUCUAUAUCGGGAAUGUGAAUUGACAGUAACUACCCUUGAUUGGACAUUCGGGUACGUGUGUGUGCGACAUUAAAUUGAAAUUUUGUAAGUUUUGGGAUUUUAAUUUUGGAAUUUGGAAAUUUUUUGUGGUUAGGGAAUUGGAUGGAUGGUGAGGAUUGUGUUGGACCACACAAUCACACACACACGCACUCCCUGUCUUCUCUCCCUCCCGUAGCUCUCUCUGUCCCUCUCCCUCACGAUCUCUCUCUUUCACCCUCACCCUAUACGUACGGCCUUCACCCAAAACCCUUCAAAACUCGACGGAUCGAGGGGCAAAUAAGGUAUGCAUCUUCAUCCUUUCGUCGUCCUGAGUUCAUUGGUGCUAGUUUUAGGAAGUGAAACCUUCGAUUUCACAUAGAUCCCGAACCUCCAUUUUUGAGGUACUGUUCAUGCGAACGUAAAAUGUUGUGUUUCAGGAGAUUUCAAGCUUGUGGUGAGCUUUAGGAGGUUCUAAGGAAGCUCGGGGACGUUCGUUGGAGAGUUUUGGACGUCGGGAUCGUAGGUUUCAAGUUUGGCCGAAUCUUUGGUUUUUCCAAGGUGAGAUUUCGUAGUUUUUAGGCCCUAAAACAAGUCCAACGUGAUUGUACACUCUUAGGGCUUCAAUUUGGUAUAAAAUACGAAGAAAAUGGGUGAAAAAACGAAGGAGAAUAGUGAGUUUGAAAAUCGGCCGGAGUUCGGCCGGAGUCCGGCCACCGGAGAACCAGUCCGGCGAGGACCUGCGAAGAAGACGACACGUGCGCUGCACGUGCUGCGCGUGGCCAGCGCGUGGACCCGUGCCACGUGUGGCGCGUGGGGGCGCGUGGGGCUUCCAAAAAAUUUUUCUAAAAAUUUCUCGACGCUCGUGACGUCGAGUAGGUCGAUGUGGUAUAUUAUUAUACCAAAAAUUGAGCAUCGUAUGAGAAGUUAUUUCAAAUUAUUGGUGAUGUGCUUUAAAAUUAAUGUUUUUAUAGUUGUUUCGCAUAUAGGUGAGACGUAUCCCGAGGACGACCGCAUCCAGGGACGCCACGGGGGUUACGACCCGUCGACUUAUCAGUGAAUGGGCAGUUUUGUUUUCGUAUUACCUAUAUACUACUGUUUUUCCCAGAAAAAUGCAUUUAUAUGAAAAUAUGUUUUUGAAUAUGCCAUGCAUAGAAUUAUUUGAAAAUCAUGAAUUGGUUUCACAUGAACUAUAUGAUUGAAAUAUGAUGCAUACAUGUUGCAUGGUGCUGUGGAGGCACAGGUAAGUCAGGUGAGUUCAUUUAUUCAUUGAAUUGUUGUUGUUGAGAUGAGUUGAGCUCAUAAUCUGCACCCUAGGUGUUAGUGCUUAUAUUAUUCACCACACCGCACGCUCGUCUUGGAUCCAAGUAGGUGGAUGUCGUACAGACCAUGUGAGGGUUCCGACAUGCUAGUCGUACAGAUCACUAGGCGUGAUUCCGACUAGUGGGUGACCUUAGUUAUGCGCGCUGAUGAUAUGAUGAGAGAAGCACUAGAGCGUAUUUUUACACCUUUCAUCGUAUAGACUACCUUACGUAGUUCCGAGUGAUGUGCAGAGUAGGGCCGUAUAGGUCACUGUGGUGACUCCGGCUUAGUGGGAUUUGAGCUAUUGAAUUAAUCGUAUAGGACCAACUGCAGGGUCUCCGAUUGAUUCCUUAUUCACCUGAUUUAUAUUUUUUAUUUAUGUCAUGGCAUGUUUUCUUGAAAAUGUUAAAGAUUUGAGAUUUAAAUGUUGAGAUUUUAUAUGGUUAUAUAUAUUUCUGGGAAAGUAUACAGGUUUUUACGGCGAGGGGAUAUAACUGUUUUAAUGAAAUGUUUUGGAAAACUAAUUUGUUUUACUGACCCACUCAUUUUGUUUUGCGCCCCUCCAGGUUCUAGUUUAGCGGUGGUUGGCUCACGAGGUCCUUUCCGGCUUUCUGACAGAUUUGGGACAUGUAGGACUCACCUGAGGGUGAUGUAUUCUUAUUUUAGUCCUACUUGACUGCAGUUAACCUAUGCUCUGAACUUAUGUGUUUACUUGUAACUCGUCCGGUUAUGUCCGUAUGUGGUUAUGUUGAGUUUGGGUUGAAUUUCUGUUGUUAUUACGCUUCCGUGUCGUGCUUAUGGUUACGUCACGCCCACGUGACGGCCAGCACACCUGGAUCCUCCGGAUCAGGGUGUGUCAUAGAACACCUCUUUAUAGUAUAGAUGAUGGAUGACUUUAUACUAUGAAGUUGUUUUUCAAUAUAUAUGUUCAAUGGUUUUGUACUUACCUAGUGGUCCUUUCCGCUACGGGACGUAGGGAUAGAUUCCGGUCAUUCCCGGGCGACGGUUUGGUGUUGGCAUAGGGCCUGGAGUGUGUUUCCUCUGGCUAUUUAGCACAGGGACGGGGAGCCGGCAUGGGGCCUGAAGUGUAUUUUCCUCUGACUGUCUGCUCAGAGACGGGGAGCCGGCAUGGGGCCUGGGGGUUAUCGGACAAUUCACUAGUGAUUAUUAUAUAUAUAAAAGUUAUGAUUUGAGACACUGCACAUCAUGCUAGGUUUCGGAAAACCUAUGUUUAUCAUUAUAUAUGUGUUUUCAUAAAACUUGGGGGUUAGUACGUUGAUAACUGUUUUGUUAUAUUUAUAUCAAAUUGGUCCACUCAUGUUUGUUUUGCGCCCCCUUCAGGAUUUAGGAUCGAGGCGUACAAUCCCGGCAAUCCAGGCACUUCCGCAUCGGUAUCUUCAAGUCCUCUCGGUGUAGAACCCACUUCUGUGUUCAUUCAAUUUUUAUAUUAAUCCUUUUAAUGUUCUAGAUUAGAUGUGUGCUCUGAACACGUUCCUUAAAUGCAUAUUCUUUAUUCUCUUAUAUUUAUAAGUUUUAUCUAUCCUUUAUUUUCAGCAAUUGCACUCAAUAAAUGGCUUUCGUCGCCCUCGGGUGUCGGCCAGCACGUGACCAUCCUGAUAUCCUGAGGAUAUCGGGAUCGGGGCGUGUCAAUUUGUGAAGAAGAAUUUUUAUGCACUGCAACUGUUUGAUCGUCUGUCUAAGAGAGGGAGUGCAAAUGUACAUGUGCUUUAUGUGGCCUCUUUAGAUAUGCAUGAUUUAGAAGCUAGCCCUAAACUGGAUGGUAGUAGCAGCAAGCCAAGGGUUAAAGAAGUGUCUUCUGAAGAAAAAGAUAAUGUGUCUCACAUUGAGAUUAAGAUUACUGAAUACCAUAGCUCCGAUGAAAAGUGUGUUCUGAGGUAUCUUAAUCUUUCAGACAACGCCAUGGGCAACUAUGGUGUCAAUGCAUUUGAGUCACUUCUUAGUUCACAAAACAAUUUGAGAGAACUUUAUUUGAUGAAUAUGGCAAGGCUCAAUAUGUGUCAUAACAUGAGGGAGUGGCACUGCGAUGCUAUUAGGAAGAUCAAAUGGCUGAAUGAGAAUGAGAUUUCUGUUAUGAUCAAUACCGAAGGACAAGCAAACUAUGAAGGUUUUUUUUAUUGUAUCAAAUAUGGUGAGGAGCUCACUUUUAAGCUGUUGCUCUAUUUCCAAGCUGUCAAGGCAAAAAGUCUUGGGUUUACUAAACUUGGGUCACCAAAAGAGGCUAAGAAGGUUGUUGGGAACAUGAAUGAUGUUACUGCUAGUGCCAAACAGCUAAAGGAGAUGGAACAAGGCUUGACCAGUUUGAUAGUUUUGGGGAAUGGGCGAUUGUCUGAUCUUAUUGCACAGCUGCAGGAUAUAUUAGAGGGUGUAAAUGAAGCUGAUAUCUUGCCGGAGAAGUUUGAUAAUGCAGUUAUUAAAGCUCAGAUUCCACAAUUGGCUCGAGAAAUCAGGGAGUUAACCUCAUCUCGACCUGUAACCAUCUACAAUGAGAAUUCUUCCUCUAGUGGGAAUUAUGCUUCAUAUUUAGUUCCACUUGCUGCACUUGCUGCAAUGGGCUAUUGUUACAUGUGGUGGAGAGAUUGGUCAUUUUCAGAUGUGAUGUAUGUGACAAGGCAUAAUAUGGCAAAUGUUGUUGAAGCUCUAAUUAGAGAGGUAGCUAGCAAGAGCAAUGACUUUGCUGGGAACGGAACAACAAAUACAUUGAAGAUGAGUGAAUGCGCUAUGGGCACCUAUUUAGAUUUAGUAUGCUCUCUUAGUCACCUGGAAAGCAAUUUUGGUGGUGCCUUAGUUAUUGAUUUACAUGUUGAGUUCUCUUUGUUUUUCACUUGUAACCCUGACUGUCGGCUUUUAUGGGAUCCAGGAGAUGCAAUGGCUAAAACUGUUAAGAUGAUACUCUAUUUUAAAAAUGUCAAGGCAGAGUGGCUUAACAGGGUUACAAAAAUAACCAAGUUUGGUAGUUUUAUGGUACAAUUGGAUAGAAGUGUUGAAGCUUUGAAUAAGGGCAAAAAGCAAAAAACUAGAGAUGGUGGAUAUGGUGAUGAGAUAAAGAGAUUGCAUGAUUUAAGCGUGAACAAGGUUGUGGAUAUGGCGACUAGGUUCGAAAGUGCAUUGGUAGGACAUGUUAACAAUAUAAUUUGUAGUACUACUGUAAGAUUGGAGAGACUUCACUCCGAUGAUUGGUGGUGUUCUGCUAUAUCUCAACUGCUGAUGAUUGGUAAAUCCAUCGUAUCUAGUUCAAACAAAACUCAGGAAGCAAAUGUGGAUGCUGUUUUGGGAACCGGUGAUCCGAGUCUACUAGUUGAGAACACUUCAGUUGAGCAGCUUGGUUUCGUCAGAAAGGUGACAAUCUUUAAGGACUCCACUUCCAUUAUUGGUGAUGCAGCAUCAAAAGAUGGGUUGCAAGUCCAUGGUGUGUCUCCAUUUGACAUUAUGGGCAGAAAUCUUUUCUGGGAAAAGCAACUGCAAAGGCUGCAAAUGGGAGCUGUCACAAGAAAGUUCUUGGUGGUUAAUUUCAGUUCUGGUUUUGAUGAAUCUUCAUAUCUCUCUCGGGUUGAAAAUUUUGAGGAGAUGUCACAAGAAAAUUAUGGAGAGGCUACAGGAAACAAGAACUCACUCACUCAGUUCAAGCGAGCUGCCAUACCUGGAAGGAUUAUAAUGAUUUCAAAGUCAAGUUCUACAAUUCCAUUUUUAAGCCUUGAGGACAAGGCUAAUUUUCAAGGGGGAAGUAUUGUUAUGACCCAAAUUAUUACUGAGGUUUUAUGCUUUAUUACUGUGAGGAAUUGUUAAUAUGCCAGCUGGCAUUUAAAAGUGUAGAGGUUUUAUAAAAGGAGCCCCAGCUCCCCCAAAUGUAUCAGAUCAGAAUUUUACAAAAGAAAUCAAUAUUGGAGCUCUGCUCCUUCUUCUCUCAUUCCCUCUUCUUCCAUAGCUUUCUUGUGCCACUUGCAGGUUGAUUAAGGGAAUUGAGAAUUAGAUCUUAUCAUAACGUCACUACCACAACUCCCAAUAUCAUCACGCUGAAUGUCCACACUCGGUUUCUGCUCAAUUAAAGCGUCAAUUUCCUGCAAAAUACUCUCAUCGAAAUCAUCAUCGUUAAGAAUUCCAGAUGCAGAGAAAGAAUCAAAUGAAGUCAGAAACUGCGGUUGUCUGAUUGGAGUUGUGAAAGAAUCCGAUUUUGACACGCUUGAUUCGGUCCGGCUAACGCUUAAGCUCCCGGAACACGAAGCACUGCCAUAUUCACCACGCGCUGAAUUGUACCGGCUUGCGGAAAUCGGAAGCGGUGUUCUUUGAACUCUAUUGAGCUGAGUUGGCGUUUGGAUUCCAUUUCCGCCAAAAAACACAAUUGAAUUGAUUUAAAUUGAAGCAAGAAAACAGCCAAGUAGCCAAAAAAUAGUAAGAAGAUGAAACCUUUGAUUCCUGAACGACUUACUUGGUAUGAGGGAGGUGAUGAUCAGGUGAAACGGCGUCGUUGCAGGGGCGUUUGCGAUCAAUGAGGGCCUUGGCGGCUCUGAAAUUCCGAGAGAUGCGGUUUCUUUGUUCCGCCGUGAGCCCUCCGCCGUACGCCUGAACGUUUUCCUUGGACAUUGCUUCCAAGAUUCCAACGGAGGAUUUGGCCUGACGGCCUGACCAGGCUGAUAACAGUGUAAAACCUUAGGAGCUAAGGAAAAACUAAGAGAGAGAUUGUAGAGAGGGAAAGUUUUUUCUUUUUGGAAACCAGUAGAGAGGGAAAGUUUGUUAAACCUGAAUAAUAUUCUUUUCAUUCAACUUGUCUACAAUAAUUACCACUCGUGGUAUUUAUACAUUUGUAACACACCUCACUAACUAACUAAGACCACCACCAAUCAUACAUAAACACUUGUCAUAAUCCUAUGCACUCAUAGUAUCAUCACUUUAACAUUCCCCUCAAGCUCAUGUGGCAGAUUGCCAAGCAUGAGAUUGGAACAAUUACGAGCGAACUGGGGUGAACACAAGCCUUUGGUGAACAUGUCGGCAUAUUGAUCUGCAGAGGUAACAAACUACAAAAUAAUUGUCCUUUGAUGAACUCUUUCACGAACAAAGUGGCAAUCAAUCUCUAUAUGUUUGGCUUUAUAGUGCAAUACAGGAUUAGUGGCAAGAGCCAUUGUUGAAAUGUUAUCACAAUGCAAAACUAGAACAGAAGGAGAACCAACAUGCAAAUCUCGAAGAAGCUGUUGUAUCCAGAUAACCUUAGCAGUGGUUGUAGCCAUUGCUCUAUAUUUAGCUUCAGUGGAAGACCUACUCACUGUAUGCUGCUUUUUAGAACUCCAAGAGAUAGGAGUAUCUCCCAAAAAAAUGACAAAACCCGUGGUUGAACGACAAUCAUUGGGAUCCCCUACCCAAUCAGCAUCUGUAUAAGCUUUCAACUGAGAUGAACCUGAUUUAAAACAUAAUCCCAAAGAUAUAGUGCCUCUGCGAUAUCGUAGAAUACGUUUCACAGCAGCAAAUGAGUGGCUAAGGGUGAAUGCAUAAACUGACGUACUUGAUUGACAGAAAAAUAAAUAUAUGGUCUUGUAAAUGUUACGUAUUGCAGUGCCCCAACAAUACUUUUGUAAGUGGUAGGAUCAAAAACAGGUUCACUACCAUGAUUCAGAAGCUUCUGAUUAGGAUGACAAGGUGUGGAAAAAAGGUUUACAGUCUAGCAUAUGCAUCUUUUAAAGGAGUUCUUUGACAUACUUGGUCUGAUGAACAAAGAGUCCCUGACCCUGAUACUCAAUCUGUAAACCAAGAAAAUAAUGCAACACACCUAGAUCUUUCAUGCCAAACUCACUAGUUAACUAACUAAUAACCUUCUGAACCUUCACAGCAUCAUUACCAGUGAGAAUGAUAUCAUCAACAUAUAAUAAGAGAACAAUAAUUGAUGAACCAUCACACUUGACAAAUAAAGAAGGAUCUGCAUAUGAUGACUUGAACCCAAGCUUAGGCAAAUAACCUGAAAACCUGUCAUGCUAGGCUCUGGGAGCUUGCUUGAGACCAUAUAAAAACCUCUCUAGUUUGCACACAUAAUCUGGAUAGGUAGAAUCCACAAACCUUUGGGACUGAGACAUAUAAACUUCUUCAUCAAGAAAGCCAUGCAAAAAAGCAUUAUUGACAUCUAACUGUUUGAGUUUCCAAUUAUGAGAUGCAGCCAAGGAUAAAACCAAUCGAACUAUGGUUGGUUUGACCACAGGGCUAAAGGUUUCAUAAUAGCUAAUACCAACUUCUUGAGAAUACCCAUUAGCUACAAUUCUAGCCUUGUACCUAGCCACUGAACCAUCUGGAUUUCUCUUAAUCUUGUAAAUCCAUUUACAACCAACAAGAUUUUUGUCAGGUGCUAAGGGCACAAGCUUCCAAGUAUGAAGCAUCCAUCUCUUCUUUCAUGGCAUUUUGCCAUUGAACACACUUGACUGCACUAGAAAAAGACCGAGGUCCAAUAAAUGGAAAUGUGGAAGAAACACUAGGUGGAUGAAUGAAUGUGUUUGAAUGCACAACAGACACUGGUGAGGAAGAAUGACCAGAAGUAACUUGAGGAUUGAAACCCAAAGCAUUAGAGUCUAUAGGAAACUUGGAUUCAUAAAAAAUAACAUGUCUAGAUACUAAUAGUUUAUGAUCUUUGAGAGAGAAGCAAAUAUACCCUUUGUAUUGUGUAGCAUACCCCAGAAAAAUACACUUAGUAGUUUUAGGUUCAAGUUUAUUGCUUCUAUAGGGUUUCAAUGAAGGAUAGCAUAAACACCCAAAAAAUCUCAAAUGAUCAAGCUUAGGUGGAGAUUUAUAUAGCAUUUCAAAAGGAGACUGCAUAUGUAGGGUAGGUGUGGGCAUUUUGUUUAUAAGAAAAGUAGCAGUGGCACAGGCAUGGAACUAGAAUUUUGAAGGUAAUGAAACUUGUUGUAAAAAGGUAAUAGUUGUUUCGACAAUAUGUUGAUUUUUUCUCUCAGCCAACCCAUUAUGUUAUGGGGUAUAAGGACAAGAUUUUUUAUGAACAAUGCCUUUGGUAAGAAGAAAUUGCUUAAACUGAGUACUAACAUAUUCCCUACCCCCAUCACUCUGCAAAAUUUUUACAUGAGCAUCAAAAUAAUUCGAGACAGAAGCAAGAAAGUUGACAAAAACAGUGAACACUGCAACUUUAUUAUUUAAUGGAAAAAUCUAGGUAUAUCUUGUACAUUCAUCAAUAAAGGAAACAUAAUACUUGUAACCUUCUAUAGACAAACUAGGUGAGGGACCCCAAACAUCUAUGUGAAUUACUUCAAAUGGAGUAAGUGACUUCGAAGCAAUUACAGGAAAAAGGAGCUUGGUAAACUUGCCUUGCAAACAAGCAUUACAAGUAUGAGAUUGAGAGUUACAAGGAAAAGAUAUACAAGACUUAUUAAGUGCUGCAGUGACAGUGGAAUGUGUAGGAUGGCCUAAUUGACAAUGCCACAAUGUAGAAGAAAUCUUUUGACCCACAAAUGCAACUGGAUUAAAAACAGGAGAAAUAGACCUCUGUGGUUUGAUUAUGGGAAGUGGAUAGACAACAUUAUUACUCAGCCCUUGGAAUAGCACUCUCCCGGUGACCUUGUCCUGUAGACAGAGAGAAACAUCAUCCAUGAUACAACGACACUGAUUAUCUUUGCACAACUGAUUCAUAGAUAAUAAGUGUUGUGACAGUUUUGGAACAUGUAACACAGAGUUUAACUUGAAAUUAUGUGACUAAGUGAGAAGAGAAGAGGAACCAAUAUGUUUGACAGCUAAACCUUCACCACUAGCACUGGUCACAAUAUCAUUUGAUGGAUAAAUUUAUUGUCAUGUGCAAGUUUGACAAAUCUGAGGUCAUAUGGUUAGUUGCUCCCAAGUCAAGAAACCAGAAAUCUUGUUGAAGAGUUGAGGAUGAUGCACCAGCUCGUGCUUGCAUAGCAAGAGGAGGAUUUUGUGAGGAUAUAGUUAAUAGAUACAUAUGUGGUAUGACAAGAUACUGAAACUGUGAGCUAUUAGACUGUGGAAUCAUGCCUUGUGAAGGACCACAUGGAUUCUAGCUAGGUGCUUCACCAUAUGACCCAGUAGGCAUUGGAGUUGGCAUAGAUGAGGAUAAACCCUAAGAGAAAUGCUCUGAUGUGCCUGUGAAAUUUUUAUUCUGAUCAAAGCAAGUAGCAGCAACAUGACAACCUCUGUGACAAAUUUGACAUCCAUGUUGAAAACAAUUCAAUGCAGAAUGACCUUUGCGAUCACAUAUUUGCAGAAUGGCCUUUGCAACCCUAGAAAGAAGGAGCGAAGAAGACCAAAUGUGUACGUUUCUCUUUGGUUUUUUUUCCCUCCUAAUCGCGCUGUUCGAAAUCACGGACCUCGGGCCUGGGCCUAGUGGGCCCAAUUAUGAGGCCCAUUAUCUCCGGUCUUCUCGUUCUACUUCUAGUUACCCAAAUUAAGAACGUACGCUUUUAGCGCGAGAGAGAAAUGGAGGCCCUGAUUGCCUCGUACGGAGACUCGUCGUCGGGCUCAGACUCCGAGUCGCCGGCUCCACCUCCACCACCACCUCCGGAGCUCAACAACCCUCAAGAACCGACCCCUGCGCUGCCUCCACCUCCUCUGUCACUUCUCGACAGCCCCAAUUCCUUCGGUAACCUCUGAUUCCCAUCAAUUUUCAUCUUUUAGCUUUCUGUUGUGAUGGCUUUUUCCGAGUUGCCCACCAAGUGUUUGAUGUUUUGCCUCCGAAGAAUUUCUGGACUUAUCGGCAAGCGCCCAGCCGAGCAGAGUUCGGAACUUUCCUCACGUCGAAGGGAACUACGCAGUACAUGUAUACAUCCCAGGUUAUCAAAAUUCUCGAAAUUUUCAGCUCCAUUAGCAAAUGCGAUCGCUUUGCACUUAGUUUUUGCUUGUUUAAUUGUGUGGUUCCAGUUUAUAUACCACCAGCACCAAGGAAAGAGAUGGCCUUGUUUUUGAACAAGCUAGCUUCUCUGCUGCCUGGUCUCCAUGCGGUUGACGUUGACUUCCCGCUUGACAUUCUGCGUAAGGACGAGCACAAGCUUGAACAAGUUGCUUUAGGCAGAGAGUUCCAUAUAAGUCUCGGAAGAACUGUUCCGAUGCGGGUGCACCAGAUUGAUUCCUUGGUGACAAUGCUGCGGCAGAAGCUUCAGAUUCAGAGGCGGUAUGGUUACAUUUACAUUCUCUUGUCUGCAUUGCGUGAAUUUAGUUCUGUUAUUUAACAUAAUUCUGUAAGCCUGUUUUCGUAUAAAUGCACGGUUGAAUCAGCUUUCAUUGUCUACAAGUCUGAAAUAUUUUAACUUCCAUUGAUUUCAGAUAACAAAGCAGAUUCAAGCUGUGAAUGAGGUGUAUAAGCUUCACAAUCUUCCUGAAUUUUACAAGGUUAGCUUUUUCGUGCUUUUCAAACUCGAAUCGGUUCCUGAAUGUAUGACAAUAUAUUGGAUCAAACGAUUUCUCAAAACACUAAUUCACUUGAUGGGGUCUUGGUGAUCACAGGAUCCACGCCCUCACAUCUCGGUAGCUUGAGCAUUGGGUGACAUCAGCAAUUCCCUGAACAAAGUGGUUGAAGAAGAAAGACGAAGAUCUACCAUCGGAGGAUCGUUACAGAAAUGUAUUUUUACCAGUAAAUUCAAUGGUAUCGAUAUCGAAUGUAGGAUUGGUAAUAAAACACACAAAAUAUGUAAAUUUUCUGAAGAAUAAUGUAGCCAUUUAACUGUAUUGUGAAAUUCCGAGAAUAUAUGGCUGAGCAUUGGAUGAGAAGACAUUUCUUCGUUGGUGUCGAACUUCUUGUCGAAGGUAUUGGCACCAGUGUAAACGUCAUCAUCCAUGUUGAUGGUAAUUACUUACCAGCUACUAAGGGUGUCGGAACAACCUUGCACGCACCCUCCUGUGCAUUACUUGGUAUUGUCUCGGAUUCUCCAAACUUGAAUGCUAAUGUAAACCCACUCUUGACCUUUCCGUCAUCUGCAAUUACCGGAAAGCCGGCUUGGAUGUUGCCGUUGACCUACCAAACUUAAAAUACCGACGAAAUGUUGGAGUACUUCAGUGUACUACUCGUUUUUGUAUGCGAGAGCUCCACCUCUAUCGUUGUAACAGCAUCUGAUGCGGACUAGUCCUUCAUUCCCGUUACUCUUUGCCAUCUCCACUUCAAACUUGGUGUGAUGGCUCCCGGCCUCCUCUCCGGUGAAAUUGAGUAACCCCGGAGCUGGCGUGCCAUCAAGAUUUCCGUUGUGUCUCUAUUUGCUGUUGUGGUUCGGUUCCACUAUAAACUUGGCAGAGUUAGCAUUUUCAUUCUGUUGUCUGUAUAUCUUGAUAUUACAAGUAUUUGUUGUGCAAAAUGCAUGCUAAGUUCAAGUUAUGUUUAUAUGUGUGUGUGUGUUGCCACUUUUCCAACGUUUUCUCCAAAAUUGUGACGAGCAACAAAGCAGUUUUGAUUCCGUGCACAACAACGAUACCUCGAAAGAAAUUGAUUCUUCCCCAGAAAGAUGUUUUAAAACAAAGUUGAACAAGGGAAGAAAACUUUUGAAUCGCAAUCAGAUGUCUGGUCAAAUUCUUUAACAGUUGAUGUAUACAGAAGUUCCUUGCUUAUGACACGACUUAUGAGAGGAUGUAUGUAUUGCAUUUGCAUCAAAAGAAAGAAAGAAGGUUGUAAGUGGUAAGGGAACGACUACCGAUGCCGCUCCACUUCUAAUCAAAGGGAUCGAUCCGAGGGUCGUGUUCACUUGCCAUCGCCAUUCCAGUGCAAAGGCAUGUCGGGCACAUUACCUGCCACAUUUACAGACGCAAUGUUAGAUAUAGCUGCCAUUUGGAAGUCAUCUCUCAAAAUUUUGCUACUAAAUUAAUCUUAAACUUCAUUUCCAGUGCAAUUUUUUUCUUCUGAAUUGUCUUUCACAUGCCCGACAAAUAGAAGUAUCACCAAACAUGUGAUAUAGAGCAUCUAAGCGGCAGGCACUAAAAGGAAUUUAGUAUGCAAUAAACAUUCAACGGACAUAAUUAUAUGUCUAACCUUUCCCGCUCCUGAGCAAUUUGAACAUCGUUCAGUUUUUGGCAGAGAUAGGGGUUGGUUUCCGCCAUCAGCUGUCGAUACUGGUUCAGUAAGAACAAGGGUUCCAGUGCUGGAGCAACGAGCACAAGCAAGAGAUCCUGCGUAAGUAUCAAAUACACAGGUAAGUUGACAUACGAAACCAAUCCGAACAUCUCCAUCGUAUAUAUUUAAAGCUACAGUACAUAAAACUAAAAGUCAGAAAUAUAGGACAUUAUCACACCAGUUCCAAGACAAUAUUUGCAUCGUUUAUGCUCCUGCUGUUUCACAUUGUUUAUUUCAACUACCAUCAAUGCUGAGAUCACUCCGACUGCUCCUCCAGAGAAUGACGCCACUAUGGGAUCAACUUGACUGCAGUUUGAAAGUAAAGGAGAUCAAUAAACGAAACUGGUAACAACAUAGUAUCAACAUUAUUUAGCUUCGUUUCAAGAAAGAUGACAUCCUAGGUUUUUCUAAUGUGUAAAAAUUGAGGAUCCUCGUAAAAUUUGACUAUAUCGGUUCCCAAAGCAUUUGAUUCCUACGUUACAGACGGAAAACAGCAACAAUCGAAUUUAAAGAUUCAUAACACGAUAGAUGGUACAAAAUUUCAAAACGAUAAUUACUAGAGAACAGGAGGGUUAAUAGCCUGAGAUAUGAGCAAUACCUCAACUGCAACGGCAGAUGCAUAUUUACUAUAAAGUCUUUAUAUGAUGUGCCUCCUAUUCCCAGCUUCAACUCCAACUGAAAGAUGUAAAGGUAAUUGUAGGCAAAGAGUUACAAACAUAACCGAAUCCAUGUUUUAUAAGCAACAACUACACUUAUUUUGAUAUGUUUCCUCAUUUUUUACUUGCAAAUUCCAAACCAUAUUGUCGGACCAGUAAAAGAAAAUAAUGUUUAUGAUAACUGUUAAAACUAAUUACAACAAGUUAAUGCAUAAAGAACUUACGGAGGGUGCUAUGAGGCCACCGAAAAGGAUAAACCCCGCAAUAAUUGAAUAACAAACAGCAUAAUACUGCUUAAGGUUGUCUGAACUCUGCAAGCAAUGAAUUCACCUUGUGAUUAAUACUUUGCACAAACACUAGUUUUCGCAAUUUUUUAUGAAUCGACAAAAGGCUACAACAAAAUAUGGCUAAAACAUGUCGGGGAUAUGAAAAUACAUGUCUUCACAGGGGCACCAGCUUACCAGGGGAGGCAAAAAUGGAAUGAACGAUGGAAAACUAGGAAGUUCGUUUUCUUGAUCUUCAUUUACCGCUCCAAGCUCUGCACGUUUAAUCCGCUGUUGUAUCCUCAGCCUGCGAACCUACGCAUAUCGAAGCUCAUUCUUAAAGAACACAUUUCUAAUGGCAAUUGGAGAGUAAUUUAAAACAUGCUACACUGAGAAAGUGGUAGCAACUAGCAAUUGCUCUCACCUCCUCCAUAUGCAAGAAAAUUUUGUUGCGACGACUCCGAAUAUUAUCUUGAAUUUCCUGCAGCUCCAUUGUGGCAAAAUCCUGCACUGUUUCAGGCCCCUCUAUGAUACAAAAUCUGCACCAUUAAGCAUGUAAAAAUUAAAAAUUACAAGCUACAAAGCAAUUUCCGUAUAGUUGUUGGGUUAAAUAACAUCAACAGCAAAUAAAUCACAUAGGUUUUUCACAUAAAGUUACAAACUUUCAAGGACUAAUAAGCUGUCUGCAAUCUCAUAAAUUUCACAGUGCAAAGUAACAAUCCAAAGCUUGGAACUUUAAAUUUCCACCUUCUGUUAAUUUUUUAGUGCACCUGGUGUCGUUAGAUUCGAGUAGUAUGUCACAUUAAAUUUUUUUUUUCUGUGCAUGCAUUUUUUUUUAAAAGAAAAUUUAUAUUGUUAAAGAGCGAGUUCGAAACUAUUACAUUAUGGAAGGACAUAGUACCGAAACUCCGACGAUCAAAAACAAAAUCAUGUACAACCACUCCAAGCAGUCAACAUGGCCAUCACAUAUUGAAUCCAAAAUGUUGACGCCCCAUUCGCUGCAUAUAAUGUACAGACGAGCGGCAGCUUCAACCAGUUCUGCCAUAUCCGGCUGGAUGAGAGCAGCUAAAGACAUGAUUGUUCCCUAAUAACAUGAAUAAAUUGAGUAAACACCAAAAGUAGCAGCAAGGGAAGGAGAUGUGAAGUAUAUGAAGAGGUGUAAGACCUGUGAAUGUCCAGCAACAAAGAUUUUGGAGCUUGUUGUCGAAUAAUGCAACGCGUCAUUUCUGGUAGAUCAAAUAGAGCCAAUUCCCGCCAACUCCAAUUCCAAAAUUUCUACAGUAAAGCAUAAAUCUUAUUCUCUCUUCUGAUAAAGAUGAGUGUCCCAGACUCCAACGUGUUCCACACACAUUCCCUACCCAUACAUCGAAACCUUCAUCUGCAAGGACGAAUCCCAGCGAUUCUUCUGGAGAAUUUAAGAAUCAUGCAUCACCUGGUUAAGAUCAAGAAAAGCCAGUAACCAAGUUCAAUUGAGUUAAAAUGUAUCCCAUGGAUGUUCAUCACUUUGCCCAAUUGUUCUUUUCAAGAAAGGAAAUUUCAACAGAACCUGAAAACUUCAGAUCAGGGGGCACCAAAUAGUGAGCUAUACAUUCAAAAUUUGAAAUAAUCAACUUAGUAGGACCAGUAUGUUGAAAAAAUAGGAAGGAGCUAUGAAAGUAAGACUUUUCACUAAUCAGGCGUCCAGAGAAUCCAUAUUUUACCCGCGUAUCAGUUACGGGGAACACUCCCCACCAGAGCAAUCUCAUUAGUCCUUCACAUCUCAACCGUACAGAAGUUGCACUAACAAACAUGACUCCUAUUAGUCCUUCACAUCUCAAAUCCAGGAAGUACCCAUCUUUCGUCUGAAUCUGGAAAAUAAGCAGCAGUCAAUUUAACAAUCUCGGUAUCUCAAAGUUACUCACUUUAAUCACAAAUUUAGCAAUUAAACAUAUAAAUGGGCAUUUUUUUAGGGAAAUAUUAGUAUAGUACUCACUGUGUGCUCGGAGCAAGAGUACCCAGAAAGCUCAAUGAGCUGCGCACAGAGGACUGCAGUGGUGAACGACAGCGACCGCACAGAGGACUGCAGUGGUGAACGACAGUGACCAAUUCUGUAAAAUUUAGUCGAGUUUUGGGAAAUUUCUGCAGCGAUUUCGGAGGUCAAGAGGCUGAUAAGGAAAGCCGCGACCAAAGGGCACUGGUCUGGAAGAAAGGCUUUGGUCGCCGCUAUCGCAAUUCACGAAGGAAGAAGUGCCCCAAAACAAUUUCGGCCCUGGACAGGUGCACUGUUUGCACUGAGCCAGGGCCGGCCCUGAAUCGCGAUAACGUCCUUCUCCAAACAGUAUAUAUACAGAUGCUAGAAAAAUCUACCGGAACUAUUCAAUUCUAGCGUCUACAGCUUUAGCAUUAGUUGGUACAAGGGGCAUUCUUCCAAAGAGGGAGAUGAAAUCGUUGAGGCACCAAAUAGUGAGCUAUACAUUCAAAAUUUGAAAUAACCUCUUGGUAGGACCAAUAUGUUGAAAAAAUUGGAAGGAGCUAUGAAAGUAUGGCUUUUCACUAAUCAGGCGUCCACAGAAUCAAUAUUUUACUCACAGAUCAUUUACGGGGAACACUCCCCACCAUAACAAUCUUUUUAGUCCUUCACAUCUCAAACCAAGUAGAAAUUGCAGUAACAAACACGACUUCUAUUAGUCCUUCACAUCUCAAACCCAGUAAGUACCCAUCUUUCGUCUGAAUCUGGAAAACAAGCAGCAGUGGAUUCAACAAUCUGGGUAUCUCAAAGUCACUCACUUUAAUCACAAAAUUAACAAUUAAACAUAUAAAUGGGCAUUUAUUUAGUGAAAUAUUAGUAUAGUACUCACUGUGUGCUCGGAGCAAGAGUACCCAGAAAGCUCAAUGAGCUGCGCACAGAGGGACUGCAGCGGUGACGACGGCAACCGAUUCUGUAAAAUUCAGUCGAGUUUUGGGCGAUUUCUGCAGCGAUUUCGGAGGUCAAGAGGCUGAUAAGGAAAGCUGGGACGGAAGGGCACUGGUCUGGAAGAAAGGCUCAGGACACCGCUGUCCCGAUUCGUGAAGGAAGAAGUGCCCCCAAAACAAUUUCGGCUCUGGACAGGUGUACUGUUUGCACUGGACCAGGGUCGGCCCUGGCGAUAACGUCCCCCAAACAGCACAUAUACAGAUGCUAGAAAUAUAUAAAUGUAACCUGAAACUACUAGAACCAUUCAAUUCUAGCGUCUACAGCUUUAGCAUUAGUUGGUACAAGGGACAUUCUUCCAAAGAGGGAGAUGAACUCAUUGAGGCUCUUAUUUAUUCCUCCUCUUGAUGUGCCCUUUUAGGCUGCUAAUUCCACACGAUCCAAUCUCAUACAUCUUCCCUGCAAAAGCAUGUGUGCCUGACUUCAAGAUCAAAUUUUUCCAACAAAAGAAACUUAAAGAUCAAACUCGCUAGAGGAAUAAGUGGUGCACAAGGGUGUUAAAAUCUUGACAUAUGUAUAUUUUUGGCAGAUUUUAUGUGAGCAUGCAACUAAAACUGGCAUCACUAUCAAUGGUGCACAAAGAUUGGUGGAAAACUUUAACAGUUUGAGUUGUAACUUCUCCAUUGUAUUUGUUAAGGCAAGACGGAUGUCAUCUAUUCAUUUUUCUGUAAAACUUAAAAGGCUGCAUAGCAGCUCUUGUUCGUUGUAUUGAAUACCGUGGUUUUACUGAUGAAUGCAGAGUUUGCUGAUGAUUCAUACGACAAGCAAUUGAAAAUCCCAUCAUUAUGCCCCCCAUAUACCAGAAGAAAAAAAAGUCAUUUACACAAAUUCAGAGCGUUCAUCCACUGUAAUUUGCAGAUAUAGAAACGUUAAGAUAAAAGGAAAUGCAAAGUACCUUUCACCAAAUUGGAGGAGCACCGGUGGCAUUAGCAAGUUAGCAACGGGAAUUGACAUACCAAUAUCUUCACAGUUUCUGCACAAGCACAAAUCAAAAGAAUCCGGAGGUGGAGUUAUGUACCUCUCCUUGGAAAAUGCCACCUCUUGGGAUUUCAAAAUAUGCGGCCGUGGCUAGCCGUCUGACCACGCCAAUUCCACCAAAGCCGCCGCAACGCGGUGUAGUGUCCGAUUGAUUGCUUCAAAUCAGAGCUUCGUAUCCAUGUGUUUAUCAGCAGAGAGUACCCAAAACCCCUGAAAAUUAUUUCUUUAUUCAGAUAAUAAAAUAUCCCAAAUUUCGAAUUUUAAUUCCGAAUCAAAAAUAGGGUUUGAAUUUUGAUUACCUAUAAAUUGGGGGGUUGCGGUGGAAAGGGAGUCAGCCAAGACGGCGAUAUGCGUCCUCGAGAGGGCUAUGAAAAUACAAAUUACAGAGCGUGUUGGGACGAUGUACAAGGCUUUUGCAGUCUCUCAAAUAUAAAUACCGAAGCUCCGUAAGGCGUUCAAUCCAGGGGGAAAGCUCUUUAAUAGAUGUUCCAUCCAGGAAAAGACUUCUUAAUCCUUCCAUAUUUUCUUCAAUGCUUGGAAACAACUCAAAUUUUGUACAACCGGAAAGAGAGAGAGAGAAAAGGGACUUGAGCUGACAAAUGCUGCUUGGAAGACUCUUAAGUUCUUUGCAAUCUUUUAGAUUCAAAUGAUUCAAUCCCGUAAGAUUAUUAAUUGACGAGGGCAGUUCUUUAAUUUUUGACCCGGAUAAAUUAAGCUCUUCUAACUCCUCCAUACCUUCUGAAAUCUUUGGAAACAUCUCAAGACUAGAGCAGCCAGAAAGAUUAAAGGUUUUGAGAGAUUUCAUACGAAUGCUGCUUGGAAGACUCUUAAGUUCCGUGCAAUUAUGUAGAUUCAAAUGACACAACCUCGUAAGAUUAUUAAUUGACGAGGACAGUUCUUUAAUUUUUGAGCAGGGUAAAUCAAGCUUUUCUAACCCCUCAAUACCUUCUGAAAUCGAUGGAAACAUCUCAAGACUGAAGCAGCCAUAAAGAUUAAAGGUUUUCAGACAUUUCAUAUGAAUGCAGCUUGGAAGACUCUUAAGUUCCUUGCAAUCUUUUAGGUUGAAAUGACUCAACCCCGUGAGAUUAUUAAUUGACAGGGACAGUUCUUUAAUUUUUGACCCGGAUAAAUUAAGCUCUUCUAACUCCUCCAUACCUUCUGAAAUCUCUGGAAACAUCUCAAGACUGGUGCAGUCAGAAAGAUUAAAGGUUUUGAGAGAUCUCAUACGAAUUUUGCUAGGUAGAAUCUUAAGUUCCUUGCAAUCUUUUAGGUUGAAAUGACUCAACCCCGAGAGAUUAUUAAUUGACAGGGGCAGUUCUUUAAUUUUUGACCCAGAUAAAUUAAGCUCUUCUAACCCCUCCAUACCUUCUGAAAUCUCUGGAAACAUCUCAAGACUGGAGCAGUCACAAAGAUUAAAGGUUUUGAGAGAUCUCAUACAAAUUUUGCUAGGUAGAAUCUUAAGUUCCUUGCAAUCUUUUAGGUUGAAAUGACUCAACCCCGAGAGAUUAUUAAUUGACAGGGGCAAUUCUUUAAUUUUUGACCCGGAUAAAUUAAGCUCUUCUAACUCCUCCAUACCUUCUGAAAUCUCUGGAAACAUCUCAAGACUGGAGCAGUCAGAAAGAUUCAAGGUUUUGAGAGAUCUCAUACAAAUUUUGCUAGGUAGAAUCUUAAGUUCAUUGCACCCAUGCAGAUCCAAUAAAACAAGGUUUGUAAGAGUCGAAAUAGACGGGUGAACCUCAACUAAGCUUAUACAACUUCGAACAAUUAGCCUCUCAAGAUUUGGCACAUUUGUGAAGUCAGGGGUUUCCUUAAGGGAUUGACAAUAACUUAAAUUGAUGAAUUUCAACUUUUCCUGCGUCUGUUCAAACAUUCAGGAAAACAUGCAUUACUUAAUAAGACAUCUCACUCAAAGCCCAAACAUUUAAAAGAUACAAAUACAUGUAAAUGAUUGUACGUACCUGGGUUCCUUCCCAAAGUCGGUCAAUGAGACUACAUUGCAUGUCAAGUUCAACAAGAUUUUCGAAUUGAAAGUUGGAUGGCAAAGACUUGAGAGGGAAACCAAGCCAGGAGAGAUACCUCAGGUUAAGCAACUUUAAGGACCCAAACAGGUGUUGUUUGCAGUACUCAUCUUUAAAAACGAAGUGCCUAUAACUGAUCUCGAGAAGUCUUCGUUGAGCAUUUAAGUUCCCAUGAAGACCGAUCGUGAGAAGUCUUCGUUGAAUCCUUCUAACAACAGAUUCAGCAUUUAAGUGCCUAUGACUGAUCUUGAGAAGUCUUAGUUGAGUCAUUCUAACAAAAGCUUCAGCAUUUAAGCAUGGCCAGCCUGAGUACGAGAAAUCCACAAUUAUGCUUUCAACUGUUUUUGUAGCCUGUGCAAAUCAAAGUAAAGGAAAAUACAGAGAAAUUAGUUUUGAUUAUGAAAUUAAUGAUUGUUUCUUAAGGAGCCGUCUGAUAAUCAUUUCAUUUUCUAUUUAAUUGUUUUCAAUUUUCAUUAUUAAAACAAUGAAAACUAAAAAUAAAAAAUUGAAAACAAAAAUGGUUAUCAAAUGGGCCUAAGAAAUUGAUUUUGGUCAAAAGUUGAAGCUUUCUACUAAUAAUUGCAUAAGAAAAAGAUUUCUCACCGUAUUUUGAGAUAGCACGUGAUGAACAUCUUCAUAACUCCACAACCUACUUCGUCUCCCAGGCUCUUUGAUACAUUCUUGGCGGACGAUUUCCCGACCCAUUUCCGCUAAUGAAUCAUGCAUCUCCAGUUCCCCCUCCCCUGAGACAGUUAUGAGUGCUCGAUCGAUUAGAACUCUUAUUCCAGUAUAAGGAUGGAAACCACAAUCUUCCAGAAUUCGGGCUGCACAGUCUUUCUCCAUCCCUUUAAAGAAACAUGCAAUGUCUAGAAAGAUGUCCUUCUCCUUGUCAUCUAGUCCAUCGAAGCUUGAUUUAAGCACAUCAUGAAUUCCCCUUCGCGGGAUUUUCCUUAUUUUUUCUAACUCAUCUUCCCACUCGCGUAUAGUUUUGUUACCAAGAAAAGCUCCCAAGACUUUGAGUGCUAAAGGCAGGCCUUGAGCAUAUUCUACGACAUGAUUCGAGAGAUCAUCAUAAUCUCUGGUGGGUUGGUUUUUUCUGAAGGCGUGCCGCCUAAAGAGUUUCAGAGCUCCAGAAUCACUCAAAAUCUUGGGAUUAUAUAUCACAUCAGCUAUGCUUAGUAAUUGCGAAUCUCUAGUUGUUAUAAUAAUUCUGCUUCCACCACCAAAGGAAUGUGGCUCUUCAAGUAAAGCUUCAAUUUGUUCUAAUUCGUCCACAUCAUCAACAACAAUAAGAACUUUUCUCUGACCAAGGCUUUCUAACAUCACCUGAAAACCUUUACUCGAUAUGUCAGAACUCCCCACCUUGUUGUUCGAGAUACUCAAUAGAAGUUGUGCCUGCAUAUGUAGUUUGCCAUGCUUCAUGAAACCUUCCUUGAAAUUUUCAAGAAAGCAACAAGCUUCAAAUCGACUAGCGAUUUUAUCAUGAACAGCUCUAGCGAUGGUUGUUUUGCCUAAACCACCCAUACCCCAUAUUCCAACAAUGCGAACAGUAUUCGUUUCACCUCCGGGAGGAUAUAAUAAUAGAUGCAUUUCAUGCAUGUGAGAAUCCAUGUCAACCAAGCCAUUAUCUUUGCUUGAUGUUGAUGAGAUGUCGAUCAAUUUCCUAUAAACAUCUUCUACAAUUUCCUCAAUAAGCACCACAUCAUUCCUGUCAAAUUAAAAAAAAAACAAUAUAAUAACACCACCAAAUAAUAAUUAAUGGGUUUUUUCAUCUGUUAGUUUUAAAAAAAAAACAGAAAUUAAAACUAAAAACUAGAUAUUUAUCAAAUGACCCCUAAACGUGACAAAAAUCCCAAAAAUUAAUAGGAAACUAAAACAAAUUAGAAUUUACUCAUAGUUUCGCGAAUCCCAGCCGGAUAAACUGGUGGCAGUUGUAAGAGCGGAUCUCCAGCUCUGAACCUCUUCCAUUUCAGCGUUAGAAUCACGAUAGUGCUGAGCAAAAGCUUCCUCGAAUUUUCUCUUGAGUUUACGAACGUCAGACGGAUCAACUUCAUAGAAAAUGGGGAGUACAAUCCGGUUAUUGGUAUCCUUGCAUUCCAGGAUUUGCACGAGUUCUUUCAAGCACCAAGUGGAAGAAGCAUAGUUUUGAGAGAAAACUACAAUCGAAAGCCUUGACUCUCGAAUCGCUGUCAGGAGCUCGGAAAGGUGGUCGCCUUUUCUGAGCUUUUCGGCAUCAAUGAAGGCGUUGAUUGGUUUCUUAGCCAGAGCGUUGUAGAGAUGGCUGACGAAGCCCCUGCGAGUGUCUUCCCCUCUGAAAUUGAUGAACACAUCGUAUUUGCAACCAAGGCCAGAAGAAGAUGAAGAAGAAGAAGCAGCCAUUAUUAAUCGAUCGCACCUGGUCAGCGAUGAU